GAUGAAGCAAAAGAUCCUUGUAAAAGAUCAACAAGAACUUCAUUCUAGCUGAUUCUAGGUUUCCCUUAUUAAGGGAUAAAAAUCCAACAUCGAUUAAAUAUCGAAAUAUUGACCAACUUAAAAAAGAUCUUGGGCUACUCCUCUUAAUCAGAUUGACCUUUUAAGAUGGAACCUCAAAUUUUAACAUGGUAUCAACUCAUUAAACUCCAACGAGCAACUCAAUCCCGAUACGACUCUAAAAAUGAGCACACAGAUUUCAAGAUUGGUUUAUUCAAACGAGCCAACAUCUUGUGGGGGCAUGUUAAGGGAUAAAAAUUUCACAUCGACUAAAUACUGAAAUAUUGACCAAUUUAUAAAAAUCUUGUGCUACUCCUCUUAAUAAGAUUGACCUUUUAAGAUGGAACUCUAAAUCUUCACAUGAUAUCAGAGCUCAUUAAGUUUCAACGAGCAAUUCGAUCCAAUUAAAACUCUAAAAAUGAGCACACGAAUUUCAAGAUUGGUCUGCUCAAACGAGCCACCAUUUUGCGGAAACAUAUUAUUAAGGGAUAAAAAUCCAACAUCGAUUAAAUACCAAAAUAUUGACCAACUUAAAAAAGAUUCUGUGCUACUCCUCUUAAUAAGGCGGACCUUUUAAGAUAGAACCCCAAGUUUUAACAUCCCUUAUAUUCUUGCCAUAGGGUCUCAUGAAAUCUGACGCAUAUUUGUGUGGGUCUUGUAAUUGAAUUUCGUCGAGUCCUAAUGCACUUUAACUUGUUGAAGACUUAAAGGUUGAAUCCCAACCUUGAGGGCCUCCAUCGCUCCGCCCCUGAAGCAUCAUGAGGGAGGUAAAUUGUGGGAUGUGCCCCAACAGGACAGGGAACAAGAGCUUGCCCGUACACUGGUGCCCACAAAGUGUUCAAUUCCAUAUCUUAGGAAUCGAACCCUCACAUUGCGACUGCCAGCAAGACCAAGACUAUCUCACUCCUGUCCUUUGCACCACUGGGUUAUGCCCCGGAGGCUAACUUGUUGAAGACUUUCCUAGUGAUGUAGUGGUUUCACGCUUUAAAGUAGGUUUAAUUUUUCUCAAAAGAGAGAUCAUCAAGUAAAUUUGAGAAAUUCGACUUUCAACACAAGUACAACUUUGUUAAAGUGUUAUAAGUUAAUAUUAAAAAAAUGUUUGAAUUGGUAGAUGAUGAGGAUGGCCAACCUAAUUGGGAAGUCUAGGUACACUUAUUCCUACCUCUUAACAUCCUUGUGUAAACAUGGAAAUGUAAACUUAUAAAGUAAAUAACUUUUAGUUUACGAGAAUUAUAAAUAAAAUAAGUUAUUAAUUUUAACAAUAAACAAGCACAUAUUUAAAAGAAAAACAAAUAUAAAUCGUAAUCAAAAGUUUUAUCCACAAAAAAAUCAUAGAGACACUGCAUUUCUUUAACACGCUUCAUACACGGUGAUUUUGAAUGUGUAUAUGGCGAAUACAUCUACACAUUAGAUAUCUGCAUAUAUAUUAUCAUUUAACAUAUAAAUUAAGCUCAUGUUUGGAAAGGUAUAGCUAAAAAAUUGAUAAAAAUUUAAGUUAAAAAGUCAAAGAUUAAUUUUCAUCACACAUUUAUUAGGAUCCAUAAUUUUUAUCUACUUUUCUAUCAAAUUUAUAAAAUUUAUCAAAAUCCAAUUAAAAUCUAAUUUUCAGCUAAACCAAAUGAGGACUAAUUCGUAUGUAGUAACAUGCAAUCCAAUGCGUAUGCUAGAAGUCAACAUAUGAAUUUUCAAAGCUAUUAUACCUUUGAUUUCACCCAAUAAUAGGAAUCUAUUAAAAAUCUUAUUUUAAGCUAAAUCAGACAGGGGCUAAUUCACAUGUUGUAGCAUGCAAUCCCAUGCGAGCUCUAGAAGUCACUAUAUGACAUUUCCAAACUAUACACAUCUGAUUUCACCCAAUACAAGAAGUAACCAGUCCAUGGCUAGUAACAAUUAAGCCCUUGUUUGAGCCUCAUCCCCCCCCCCCCCCCCCCCCCCCCCCCCCCGAGGGGUUUUUAUUUUGGAAUAGUUUUCCUGGAAAAUGCGUGGUUAAAUUUUUUUUAUUUUUAAAAUCAACUUAUGUGUAAAAUUAAUUUAUUGAAGAAUGUGUGGUUGAAAUUGAGUUUUGAAACAAUGAGUCUUUGGUAAAAUGGAGCUCAAACAAGGGCCAAGUGCUUUCACCAUUACAUUGUGUCCACUUACUUUUAUAGUAAUCUAUCCAACAAAGUAAAGCAUUAGCUCAAAAAGACUUAAGACAGCUUGAAAUUGAAGAUGUAGCUAGCAUAAUAUUAUACGCCAUUCAGAAAAAAAGGGUUUCUAGUCUCAAGAAGCCCACAUCACAAGAUUUCAAUUACUCCUGACCUUUUUGAGCUAGUAAGCGAGCCUGCAUUAAGCUCUACCACCAAAGUUCAUUUUUAUCGAAAGCUUUAAAAAAUGACCUUUGCAUUUGGUAAACACGCUUAAAUUUGUUCGUCUCGAUCAAAAUCCCAAAAUUCUUCGUCAGCAAGUUUCUCUAAUGGUCAUUUCAGCCUGAUCACCAUCUUAUCAAGCUUCGGCGAUUUCUCUAAUAAAAGCUUGACGAGUGUCAUCUCAAGAACUGUUGAAGAAAUACAUUCCAGCUUCACUUUUUGAAGCCGAUUAAAGCUACAAAAAAAUGCUUUCCAACAGCCAAAAAAAUUGGUCGCUAAAAUAAAAAUUCUGGUUGGUAAAAAGUAUCAGCAACCAAAAUUGAAUGAUCGCUGCUUGGUCGCUAAUUCACCGUCGGUGAAUGUGUUUAGUGACCAAUGUUGUUUGGUUGCUAAUUAUGUAACGUUCACCAACCAAAAUCAACUUAUGUGUAAAAUUAAUUUAUUGAAGAAUGUGUGGUUGAAAUUGAGUUUUGAAACAAUGAGUCUUUGGUAAAAUGGAGCUCAAACAAGGGCCAAGUGCUUUCACCAUUACAUUGUGUCCACUUACUUUUAUAGUAAUCUAUCCAACAAAGUAAAGCAUUAGCUCAAAAAGACUUAAGACAGCUUGAAAUUGAAGAUGUAGCUAGCAUAAUAUUAUACGCCAUUCAGAAAAAAAGGGUUUCUAGUCUCAAGAAGCCCACAUCACAAGAUUUCAAUUACUCCUGACCUUUUUGAGCUAGUAAGCGAGCCUGCAUUAAGCUCUACCACCAAAGUUCAUUUUUAUCGAAAGCUUUAAAAAAUGACCUUUGCAUUUGGUAAACACGCUUAAAUUUGUUCGUCUCGAUCAAAAUCCCAAAAUUCUUCGUCAGCAAGUUUCUCUAAUGGUCAUUUCAGCCUGAUCACCAUCUUAUCAAGCUUCGGCGAUUUCUCUAAUAAAAGCUUGACGAGUGUCAUCUCAAGAACUGUUGAAGAAAUACAUUCCAGCUUCACUUUUUGAAGCCGAUUAAAGCUACAAAAAAAUGCUUUCCAACAGCCAAAAAAAUUGGUCGCUAAAAUAAAAAUUCUGGUUGGUAAAAAGUAUCAGCAACCAAAAUUGAAUGAUCGCUGCUUGGUCGCUAAUUCACCGUCGGUGAAUGUGUUUAGUGACCAAUGUUGUUUGGUUGCUAAUUAUGUAACGUUCACCAACCAAAUGUUUGGUCUGUAUUUGGUGGCUGAUAAUAGCAAAAAAUUGGUUGGUAUGUACCCUUUUGCAACCAAGAGUUUGGUCAGUAAAGGUGUAGGUCAAUGAAGGUGUAGAAUUUUUAUUUAUUUAUUUUUUACCAAUGGUUUAGAUGGAAUUUCAGCAACCACAAGUUAGGUUGUACCUUAUUAAAAUUUCUAAUUAAUAAAGUUAAUAAAUAAUGCAAGAGAAAAUAAUAAAAAAAUAUACAAUAACUACAAAAAAAUAAUUGUGAUUGCAUACAUAACAAUUACUAAUAGUUAAUACAUAAAUUAAAAUGUCAUUGUAUAUUUAUCCAACAACAUAUCAUAGACCCUAAUAUAGAAUGUGUCAUAUAUCUCACCAAAUCUAUCCUAUACCUUACAAAAGAUGUCUUAUAUUUUUAGUAACAUAAGUGUCCUAGACUUUAUGAACAAAAGGUAUGUGCAGACAAAAAAAUAAAAAAAUAAAAAAAAUCUAGUUAUAGACUUUUGUUCCAUUCAUACUCUAUAUCUUGCAUCAUCAGUAUCACUGGAUCAAUGAAUUUGCAGAAUUUGAUGCAUGCAAAAAGGGACACCAGUCACCUUUUAAAUAGCACCCUUUCCGAAAGAGUAUGCAGGGCAUCCCUUGUUUAUUAGAGACAUUAGGAACAUCAGAAGGUGUAGAGACAGUCUGCAAUGGAAGUAUAGAAGAUGAAGCAGAAGUUCGUUCUUGUGUUCCCAAUAGUCCAUCCAAUGACUGAAGAACAAAAGAAGAUCAAUACCCACUUUGCUAAUAAUAAAAACGAAUAGUUAAGAAUUGUGAUAUCACCGAAAAUAAAAGAAGAUCAGUAUCUAUGUUUGCAUAUGAUAUAAUAAUACACUUUCGGAUGAUAGAAUAAUGCAAUCUAUGUUAAGAAAGAGAAGGAUGAUAGAAUCCAUACUUGGGAUUCGAGCAAUUACCAUCAAUGCAAUUGAACUUAAAUUAAAUGUAUUUCUACUAGGUGUGCAUAAAGUAGACUAAGCCCUACAAUAAUAAAGUUCUUACUUUAUGUAUUCUCAAAAUAUGAUGAAUGCUAUGUUUUCCUUUUGUAAGGAUCCCGUAUAAUUGAACCUUCACAUGGGUGCAAAUAGAAGCUGCAUCUAUAGCUAAAAAGGACUUCAUAUACACUGUGAACUACAGAGCAUAUAAAAAGGAAUAUAGUAGAAGAAAUACCAAGUAUAAUAAAGAUCACAAACAUUACUGAACUAAACUCAGUACAACAAACCUUCCAGUUGAAUCCAAAAGCAGUGCUCUUAUAUUAUCAGUGUCCUCUACGCUUCAUAAUCUUAGAACCAGAUAUUGGGUACCACACACCCACAACCUAUAAGAUAUAAAAAAUUUGUAGGCCAAUUAUAAGGCAAUCCAAAGAUUAUUAUAUCGUAAGUGUGUUGAAACCAUUACAUUUGAACAUUUGAAAAAACAGGAUACUCCUUAGUAGUCUCUCACAAUAAAGCAAUACAUGAAACAGAAGUAAUAGGAUACUCCAAAGAUGACUAGUAAUAUAUUUGGUUGAAAGAGGCUACACCAGAUAGCAACCAUCAUGCCAGUACACAAAUUUCUCUUCCUUGAACAUCAAGUGGAUCUGCAAGCAGGAAUAAGGUUUUACUAGGUUGAAUGGCUUAAAAUGAUCUUUCCAAUCCAUCUAGACGGAAAUACAUGGGCAAAGCCUAAACAACGAUUGGUUCGAUCCAUCUUAUUGAUUGGACUCAUAAGAAUUAAUGAAUCUAUCAAAUAGAUAAAAUGAUCUAAACUAAUCCAGCAACAUUCAUUUCCUUUUCAUUUUAUUGUUUCCUUUUCAUUUUAUUAUCCGUUCUUUGUUAAACCUUCUGUCUACACACAAAAUGAAGUAUUUUACCUUGAUUUACAGCAAUAACUUCCUCAUUGCUUAUAACUUCAAAUGUCUCUGAGUCACGUUUCUUAUAUCACAACCAAUCAAAAGAGGUGCCAGCACAUUCAACAAAAUGCCAAUUAAUUCGUGGAGGAUUGAGAAGGCGAAUGUUAUUUUAUGUUGAUUACAAGAAUACCUCAUUGUUUGACAAUGGUUCCGAUGAAAGAUUCAUGCUUUUAAGCUGGUAGAUGACAAGUUAUUAAAAAGGAGACACUAACAAAGUAUAGUAUUAUAUUUGGUUGAAAUCUAUGUUUUAUCGGAACCAAAAGUACAGUUGGGAGGUAUGCAUUAGUGACAGCAAUGAAUACCGAUAUUUUUUUAACAGUCCCAUAAAAAAACAUUAACCUCGAAAGGAAAUAUAGAGAUACACAAAAGAGUUAAUCGAAGAAGAGAGAAAGUAUACCCAAUCCACAAGCAAUUUGAAUGUAGCAGAGUAGGCAGCAACAUCUUCAGCUAAUGCCCGUCUCUUUAAUGUUCCAUCACAACUCCUAGUGAAGAGAUAAUUAUACGCAUAUAGAACUGCAAAUAAAGGAACUGCCCAACAGAAGAGACGACAAAAAUUAGUACGCAAUCUGCAGUAGCAUAUACUUGUAGGGACAAUUACGAAGAUUCAUAAUUGGUUGAAAGAUUGACGUACUCAAACCUCUCCAGUUUUGGGUAAUUGCUGUGAGAACUGCGAGUAGGGAGAGACGAAAUGUCGAAGGGAGUGUAAUUUGAAAAUUUAAUUUAGCCCCUGUUUGAGCCCAUUUUUACCUCAUUAAAAUGAAAAAUAUGAUCGUUAUCCAUCACAUCAAACCAUCAUUUUUAAAUUUCUAUCUCUGGUGUGGGGCCUAUAACGGCUCUAUUUCUCAUUCUCAUUCUCAUUCUCAUUAUAACGUGGCUCAAACGGGCUCUUAGGGUUUCGAAUGGGAUAGGUCUCAUUUUUCCGAUUUAGGCUAUUCAUUCGGACAUCAACAAUUAUAUUAUAUCUGAAAAUUGUGUUAGAUGUAUAUUAUAUUUUUAUUUAUUACUUAGCCGAUGUUUAUUUUUUAUUAUUUGUCCAUUAAAAUGAAAAAUAUAAUUAUUAUCCAUCACAUCAAGCCACCAUAUUUGACUUUAUUUCUCUUGUGUGAACCCGUAAUGACAAUAUUUUUCAUGCAUAUUCUUACAUUAAUGUGGCUCAAACAGGGCCUUAAAAAUAUUUAUAAAUUAGUAUUAAAAAUGACACUUUUGUUAGGAAAUUAAUAAUUUUAUAGAUAAUUUAUUUUAAUUUUUUUUAUCGAAAGUACUAAUAACUAAAAUAUGGCUGUUGAUUUAAAAGUGCAUCUCCAUUGACCAACAAAAAUAUGUUCAUUGGUCGGUAAAAUGUCUAUACUAAAUUCUCCAAUGAUAAAAAUCAAUGUUGGUUGCUAAAACCCAUUAUUGACCAAUUCUUGAUCGCUAAUUAAUUCUUCAAAAAUAUCACUAGCCAAAUUAAUAAAUAAUCUAGACGACAUCCUUCGGUGACCACAUCAAAUUUGGUUGAUGAUACACAAAAUCAGCAACCAACCCUUGUUUGGUUGAUGAAACAAUCUUCCAUAGACCAAAUAUUGGUCGUUGCAUCAUCAUUAACACCAACCAAACAAAGUGAUUGCUAUAACUUCAAAUAAAAAAUGUCCACUCCUUUUAGGGGUUUUAGCGACCAUUUUGGGCAUGGUUGCUGAAACAUUCCUCCAAGGACUAUAAAUUGGUAGCUAAAUCAUUACAUAUUUCCGACUAUAUCACAAUGGUCGCAAAACCCCAAUAAAAAAGGUGGGAUCUAUUCCCUCCAAGGGCUUCAGUGACCAAUCUAUAUAUGGUUGUUGAAACAAUCUUCCAGCGACCAAAUAUUGGUUGCUAAAAGUGCCUGUCGCGCAAAAUAAUUUUGCUUGCUUUUUCCCACCUAUUUAUUAGCGACUAAAUUGUGUUUGGUGGCUAAUACAUCGAAUCGGCAACCAUUUUUUGGUUGCAAUAGGGCACAAGAAAAAUAAUACAAUUCUAUCCGACCAAAAAUGUUACCAACCAAUAAUUGGUCGGUAAAUGUGGCUUUUAGCGACCAAUUUUAUUUGGUCGCUAAAUCUUUGGUCGGUGGAGCCCUUUUUUGUUGUAGCAUAUAUAUCCGAGUAGUCUUGCAACCUCAAGAAGUCUAAAACAGGAUGUGCUUCAGCAAGUGGGAGUGGCCUAUGCAAAAUCUACACAAUAUGACAAAAAGUCACUUAUCUUAAACUUUUAGGUUAAAUUGGAAAAUAGAGUAUCGUAAACUGUAUAGUCGUGUCCAUUACUUGUCUGGUGUUUCAGUUUCUCAAGAUUCGGGGAGCUUUUGAACAAGCAAAGAACAUAAGAGAGAUCCUCCACUGAGUCUAAACAUACAUAACAUAAAUUUAGAAUUUUAAGCUGGACUUCAGUAGCUGGAAGCCUUGUUUGGAAAUCUUGGAAGCGGAUGGCAAAAGCAUGAUCAAAUAUAGUUAAAUUGAUGAUUUCAAGGAAAUUAUAGUUAUAAUCAGCCAUACCUUCAUCAUCUGAUAGUCCAUGCACAGUUGAUGGAGUGAGGGCAGGGAAUCAAAAAACUCAGUGAAGUUAUAUUUUCUAUGAAUGAUAAAAUUGUAACGGAGAGAGUGGGGAUUUCUUAAAAUAAACAUAUGUGCAGAAUAUUUCAAUUUAACGAGUUUUAGCUUGGGAGCAUUAAUUGUUAAGUGGUGAAAUCCAGCUGGGACAUGCAACUCCAGUUGCUUCUAAUACUUCAGUAUCAAUGAUGACAUCAAGCAAUUCCAGUGUAAUCAGCCUAUUAAAACCUUUGAAGCUUGGUGGAGGAUUGAUCGAACAAAAAGAAAGUUUCAAAUGUUUCAAUAGUGAACAUGUAAAUAGUGAAGAAGGCAAUUUGUACACUUCACCCUUCUUCAUUUUCAAAGUGGAUUCUUCAACAUCUUUCUUCCAUGAGAUAUAUAUCUAGUGGUCAAUUUCAGAACCAACUCUGAGUUUUGGAAUAAUUAGUGAUGUCAAUGGGCUGAGCCCCUUAAUCUCAUGAGCUCGGCUCGCGCUCAUGGCGAGCCGAGCUCGUGGCUCAUUUUCAACGAGCCAAGCUCGACCUCGGCUCACAAGCUCGUGGCUCGUCCGAGCUCGUGGACCUAGCCGAGCUUUGGCUUGCGAGCUCGUCAUCUUUUUCUUUUUUUUUUAAAUAGAGAAAAGCACAAAUAAUGUAAUAAAAAUACUUUUUUAAAAAAUAAAAAAUGUUAAAAAAUACAAAUAAUUUAAUGAAGACAUUUUUUUCUUUUUUUUAUUUAUAUCAUAUUGUAAUAUUUUUUAUAAAGUAUAAAAUAUUUAUAUAAUGAAAACGAAUUGUUUUUUGAAAUACAUUUACAAAAAUACAUUUUUUUCAAUUUCUUUUUAAAGUAAAUAAAAUGUAAACCCUCCUUCUUUAUCCGAGCUUGGGACCAAUUACAUCAAUUUUAAGUAGACGAAGUUAAAAAUUGUACACAAACAACUUGUUAUAACGUGUAUAAUUUUUAAAGAAAAUUAAAUUUAACGAUUAAAAAAUAAGAAAGUUUUGAUUAAUAUAAUUAAAUCAAAUAUCACUUACUUGACGACAUGCAAUUUCAGCACAUUUAUCUUGUAAUCGAAAAUGAGCAUCCUGUCAAUCUUUCACGCACAUUAAUGCUUCCAAAUAUCUUCUUUCAGUCGGCUCCUGAUAUCGAUCAAAAUACAUUUAUCUGCACUAAAAGUAGACUCCGAAACAAUAGUGCUAAUCGGAGGUGUCAACAAAUCUUUCGCAAUUACGGAAACAAUUGGCCAACGUCUUUCAUACUUUCGCCAGAAUUCAAUUACUUCCUCUGAACUUUUUUAAUUGUUCCGUUUGUUGGUAUAUUAUGAUUGAAGUAAUCAAUUAAUUCGGAAGACAUCACACUUUGAGUUGCGACCGAUGUUUGAUGAGAUGCAAAUGUAGAUGACAUGACACUAGAUGAACAUAUUGCAGUUGCAUCAUAUCUAAAUGUAUUAAUGCCUUGAAAUAAAUUCAUUAUUUCGACAUCAUCUUUUUCAAUUUCAGCCGAAUGAGUAGGUGUAGAGAGUACCUGACUAAUAUUCCCACCUAUUCUUUUCGCAUAUAAAUCAUACAUUCCACAUAAUAUUUGCUCUAAAUUAUUAUAAGUGAUAGGUAUAUCAAGCAUUAAGACUUUAUUGAUUUGAUCAAUUAGGUAUUUAGUUCUCGAAAUAUUAUAUCGGGGGUCCAUUGCGCAUGCUAAAGGAAAUAACAUAGGCAGUUUUUCCCAAUAUUUUUCUAAACUUUAAUUCCAUUGCAAUUAUAAUUUCACUAAUAUCAGGAUUAUUUGUAUAUUUAUGGAAUGUUCUUACAACUAUAUAAAGGAGUUCAAGCACCAUAUAGCUUGUGGGAUAAUAAACGCCGGACAAAAUCUUUGUGAUCUCAUAAAAAGAUGUCAAAAAUCGUUUAACUUUCAAAGCCUAAACCCAAUCGGAUUCAUUCAACAUACCAUCGUCAUCACUUCUAACGUGUCUAUUAUUAUAAAAGUCAGUUAUUAAAUGUUCAAAACCUUCAUAUGACUUUAAUAGCAAGUAAGUAGAGUUCCAUCUAUGGCCUACGUCGCUAUCAAAUGUUUUAGCAGCCGUCACCCCUAGUUCGGCAUAAAAAUCUUCAAAUGCUUGUUUUCUACUAGGAGAGAUCGUAAUAUAUACUAAUACAUUCCUAAUCCUUUGAAAUUCAUCAUUUAUAUGUCUUAGGCCAUUUUGCACAAUUAAAUUCAAGAUAUGGCACACACAAUGAAUAUGAAACAAAUGCCCACCAAAAUUAGGUUGAAGUGUCCUACACAAUUUAUCGACGACUACUUUAUUAAUACUAGCAUUAUCAAAAGUAAAAGACCAAAUUUUAGUCUCACAAUUAUAUUCUCUAACAAUACUGGCAAUAUCAUUAUAUAUAUUAUUAGUAUUGUGAGGAAAUUCAAUAAUUCUAAAAGCAAUAAUUUUUUUAUGCAUGCACCAAAGUGGGACUAUAUAGUGUGCGGUUGCGGCUAUAUAUGAUCUUUUAUUAACCUCUUCCAAUAUAUCAGAAGUUAAAGAUGUAACACCCCAUAUUGUUGCAAAUCCAUAAUUAAUUGUUGUUUUGAAUUAUUGAAAAUAUUGCAUUAUAUUGGCACGAAGAGUAUUUCGACUUACCCCAACGUACCUUGUUUGCAGAUAUUCUUUCACGAACGAGACGAAGUGUUGGUUGUUUGCAAUAGCCAAAGGCAACUUAGUGGCGGCAACAAAUUUCACCAUUUCGGUUCGAGUAUUGUCUUCCGAAUAAACCCACGUGGAUAGGGGUGAAGUCGUAGAACCAACGCCUGGAUUGCCAAAUUGCAAUUGUGUUUGACCAGCUGGAAGAAGUCCAUGUUUGGCCACACAUGCUUUGUAGUGGCGGUUGAGAUAGGUGGUACCAAUUCCUUUUUGCCAUACCAAUCUUUGUUGACAGUAUUUACAUACUGCCUUAGAUUCUGCAAGGCCAUCGAUGACUUUUUUCGUUGAAAUCAGCUUAAAAUGAUCCCAAAAUAUUGCUUGUUUUUUGUCCUUUUGCUUUUCCCUUGCAUUUAGAAUGUUUAAUUCAGCAUCUUCGUUCUCAUGUUCCACUUCGGAAACGUUAAUAUAAUCCAACUCAAUUGGAUUGUGGCUUUCCUGAUCGUGAAUGUGAAUAUCUUCAGUAUGAAUACGUCAUUUAGACCGGCAAAUUCAUUUGAAAACUGACUUUACAGCGUCCUAGGCGAUUCGCCAUGUGGUCCACAUUCCGUAUUGAAUAAGCUUUUAACAAAUGAGCGUUGAUCCAUUUUUUUGAUUGUUUAUGAUGAAAUCCAAAUAUAAUAACUAGAACAAUAUAAAUGUAGUGAGAAUUGAGAAUUGGAUGAAUUGAAAUUGUAACUGAAUAAACUGUAAAAAAUGAAUCGAUAUUGUUUAUUUUGUAGCACAAGAGAGUAAAAAUUUGACAAUUGAUAUAAUAAAAGAGAGUUGAGAAAUGAGAGGUAGUGAAUUAGAGGAGACAAUUGAUAUGAGAAAAAAAAAGACGAGUUAAAGGGUAUUUAUAGUAGAAGGGAAAAAAAUUUAAAAAAUUUCAGCGACCAUUUUGGUCACUAUUUUCACGAGCCACAAGCCGAUCGUGGGUGGCUCGUCUUCAAGGUGAGCCAAGCGGGCUCGGCUCGUUUCUCGACGAGGCCAGCUUGGCUCGUGCUUGGGCUUGUGAUUGUACGAGCUCGAGCCGCCCACAAACUCUAUUUCGAUGAGCCAAGCGAUCGAGCUGACGAGCGGGUCGGCCCUUUUGACAUCCUUAGGAGUAAUGAGGCUCGACUUAAUUAUGGAUCCUUGGUGAAGUAAAAGAAUCUGGUAAAGAAUCCCUACAAACUUCAUUCUAGCCAAUUCUUGGUUUCUCUUUUGAUUCUUGCCAUGUUGUAACAUCAAAUAUCAGCUGUGGCAGUUUGACCCAUUUGUUGGGAAUCUACUUAACGUGUGCAGCGAAAAAUUAAAAAAAAAAUUCAAUUCCCACGAGGAAGAGGUUGUACAUUUUCUAGAUCUGCAAACUUCUUUGCCUUAUCUUUGUUCCAGCAACUUGGAUCUAUCUCCCACAGCUGUCUAAUUGUUCAGCCUCCAACGGUCAUCCACAUAGAGAACAAGAUUGUAGGAUUAAGGUUUUUCUUGUGCUAGAAAGAAUAAUGAAAAAUUUCUAAAGUUUUUGAAAACCUUAAUCAUAUUUAUAUAAGCCCGAAUGGGCUGGGCCGGGCCUGACCUAGUCCAAUAUUUAAUUAACCCAUUUAAUUAAAUCCGGUUCAUGAAUUGAUUAAUCUAAUUAAUCAAUUCAGGCCUAUAAAUAAGCAACCUAAUUUAUUAAUUUAUUCAACACUUGUUAAAUUAAUUAAUUGACAAGUCACAAUCUUCUAAUUCUCCUUUUGUGUGCAACCCAUUAGGUUUCCGAUCACGAUACCUAACGAUGUGAAAUAUUAUUUUGAUCUAAUCAAAAUUGAUAAAUUAAAAUAUCCUUUUAAUUUAUCACCAAUUCACACUCGUUGUCCAAGCUUGACAUAUAACAAUGUGUCAGGGCAAUACAUGUGAUGAGAAAUGUUACGUGGUAUGAGAAAACCAAACUCGUUCAUUUACCGUCAAACUAUAAUCCCUUCGUCAAUAUGAUCCGAUCAAUUACGAGAUAUAGAAGUGUGUCAAUCUCGACUAUCAAUCAUAUCUUUUACUCCACUAAUAAGUCAAUAUAAGUCAAAAACUCCUUUUCGACUUAUGAGUACACCUUGGCCAAGAAUUUUAUUAUUGACUUAAUUGAAUGAAAUGCAGAUCAUAAUCUCUUACUAUGUAAGAGUGACGAAUCCUCUAUUAGUCAUUCACAACCUUCACAUGAUUCUUGACAUACUCGAACGAUGUGGUAUUAGUGGCCCUUGGCAGAGCAACAUCCAACACUGUCAAAGCAUUACUAUCCUCAUAUAAGGUACUAUGAUGACAUCAAGUCAAAGAACAAAUUCCACUACCGAACGUUAGAAAUUAACCACUGACAUUCAGAUAGUUAUCCAUAUAGAAUCUCUCGACGGGUCACCAAUGUUUUGUUCUAUAGCAAAAUAUCCACGGGUUCAUUCAAGUGUCACCACACUUUAGCUUGUGAGAUCAGCUACUUACUUCAUAAGUAAGAAAUAUCACACGUGAUGGUCUAUCUGUAAUAACGAUAUAUAUAUCUCGUUAUUACUUACGACCACAGACGAUUUAAGAUUCAAUCACAUAUAACUUGUAUCUCACAAUCACAACUCCUUGUGAUUAACAAAUUACGAAAAUUUGAAUCUGCGGACUCUAUUAUAUAAUUUAAUUGUAUAUUAAUUAAAUAAUAGAUCUAACAUUAAAUUGCAUUAAUUAUGUAUUAAAAGUAUUUAUAUACAAAGUUGAUUGGAACUAGGACAUAACACUUACACCAUUUAUACCUCCAUUGCUUUCACAAGACACAAGUCUUUGCAGCAUCACGUACUAUCAAACACAUUAAUAUGAUCUAUAUGACAUUAUCAGGAAGGUCACUUAUCAUAUCAAUAGGCUCGAAUUGGGCAAUCUUCAUUCUGCUAUGUAAUUGGCUAACAAAAUUCUGUAACAACUCUCAAUUAAUAAAAAUUUCAAAUUGCCUUAAACUAACUUGCAUGCGUGUAGAAGAUAUAAACAAAUUCUGCAUUAAGUUCACAAAAUUUUGUUCGCUUUAUUUUAAUUUUUUACACCGAUAUUUUUAAUAGUUAUCGAAUUGGUCAUAUCACUAAGAAAGUAGAGAUAAUAUUCAUAGUUGAUAUUUACAUUUGCAUAUGCUUAAAAUAUACUUUUGAACAGAAUUUCAAUAAAAAAAAAAAAAAAUUCAUGUAGCCCAUCCAAACUUAUUCACAACAAUCUUUAGUUGUUAUUAUUAUUAUUAUUAUUAUUAUUAUUAUUAUUAUUAUUAUUAUUAUAACUCAGAUAUCCAAACUUCGCCUAAAUAAUCCUGAGCAGUGGCGGCCUUCCCCCCUGGUUUACCACCCGGCUAAAUCCGGAUGCGAACACAACUUAUACACAAUUGGGCUGGACAUUCAGGAUGCUGCUCUUCUCCCUGUAAACUUUCCUUUACGACGUGCGGACAAGACCCCCGAAGAGGUGACAAAGCGCACCAUAACUUUGCCUCCAUAGAACAACUACCUUCCAACAUAAAUGUUGCCUUCUAGCUACCAUGGGGAGUCGAACCUCCGAUAUCCGUGUGGAACCCUCCUGCUUUACCACUACACCAUGCCCGUGAGGGCACAAUCUUUAGUUUGUUGUUAUUCUUAGUGGUGGACAAGGUGGCCAACUGCUCAUUCUAAUAAAUUAUGAGCAAACAAUAAAAUAAGCACCUCAUAUAUAUUGUUUCAAGUUUUAUUGAAUUGUAUGCAUAUUAUAAUUAACUUUAAUUGGCAUGUCAAUCGUCUUGGACUUUCAAGGUAUAAUCCACUACAACAUUUUAUUAGUCACAAUGAAGAUAAAUUAACAAUAAACAUAUAACAUUUCAUUAGGCAGUAUUACAUUUGCAAAAAUUAGGACAAGAGAAAUGUGAUGUUACAUGUUAAAAUUAAUUUUUUAGUCAAUUUUGAUAAAAAUUGAUGUAAUAGGUGAUUAGAAAGUUAUGAAUAUCAUAAAAUACGUGAUCUAAAUGAAUUAUUGAUUUUGACUUUGAUAAAAAUUUAAAUUUAAAUUCCCAUCCCAAUACCUACUUACCCACAUGAAUAAUGAUUGAAAAUUAGAUGAUGUGGCAUGGCUUAUUAAAACAAAAGAAAAAGAAACACUACCUCUACAAGUGUAAAAAAUCGGGAAAUGGGAAUUCAUUCUACCAUUUUAACCCUACUUUGCGUCGACUCGCGCCACUGCCAAACCCACCCAUCGCUAAUUUUCAAUCCAUCUCCGACGCAACUCCGACCACUGGGUAAAUAGAAAGACUACAUUUCACACCAUUUUUCCCAAAUUUUGUGUCGAUCUUACAACCGAAAACCCAUCCAUAUCGAGUCAAAAUCCGGGGAACUGACCGGAGAACUUUGAGCUAUUUGUAAACAAGAGGUUGGACGUGUUCCUUACAUCCCACCACUUUCAUCAGCAAGUCUGAAACUUGCUCUAACCCUAAAUGAUAGAAAAAGGUAUUUUCUCAUCCUUCCUUGAAUGCAUCCAAAUUUGUUUAAAUUUAUUGUUAAGUGGUCACAUGAGUCCAUAUGUUGUCAUCCUUCGCCUAUUACCCACAACAGAUAACUGAGUUCUAUUGACCUGAGUUUGAAAACUUGAACAGAGCAUAACUUAUACGUCACUCAUUUUUGUUCUAUUCUGGAUCCGAAAUUAUGGAAGAUGAUAACCAUGACUUGUUUAUCAAAGUGUGUACAUUUGAAUAUUUAACCUUUGUUGUAUUUGUUUUCAUCAAUGUCUUUCUUGAUUUCUUCAUGUAUGGAACCGAUCUUUUUAUGACAAACAUAUCUCUUCUCAUUGACAGAGGCAUUGAAGCUAAACAGCCAAACUCUGCUAUUGGUAAAUGUGCUGGGGUUAAACUCAUUAAGAAUAACAAGAAGAUUGCUGCUUUUGUCCCCCAUGAUGUUUGUUUAAAUGUGCUUUACUUUGCUAGUGAAAUUAGUACAUCUAGAAAUGUUCAUACUUCUUAAGCAUGGAUGCCUGAUAUGUAAUUUGCUGGAUAUUAUUUCGUAUUUUCUUUUAAUUUACUGUAUCAGAAUUUGUGUUGCUAUGUGUUGAUAUUUAGAUAAUCAUUUUCUGGUCUCUCUCUCUCUCUUGCAGUUGGAACAUUGCAUGCAUUUUUUUUUAUUGAUAAUCAAGUAAUAUAUUUUGGCCAAAUUAAUUGAAAUCCUAUGUAACUUGGGCAUGCUUUUCGGCCGUGUGAUAGUCCUUUCUAAAUGUGGACAAGGCACAAUGUUGGCUUAAUAACUCAGCUUGGUCGAGCUCGCCUGUACUAGUCGUGGAGGAUCGGCACAACUAUUUCUCCAAGGCCACAACUACUAUUUUGUCCUAGGAUAGAAGGCUAAUAUAAGUCUGUUGUCACAAAAAAGUUUGUUGAUUCAGUUUGUAUAUUUGUUUAUCAAAGUGUGUACACACUUUUGAUAUGUUAGUUUUUUACUUUUGAUAAAAACAACUCUUUCUAUUACACAAUAGUUUGGAUUACGACUAUUCAACUUCGUUCAAAUGUACACGUAUUUGCAUUUUAUUGUUUGACUAUUCAAAUGUACACACGUCACAAUAUUAUUUAUUUACGUGCUUUAUGGUAACCAAUUUUUAUUACCAUUAUUGCAUUGACAAAGGUUUUCAACAUACAGUGAAUUGAAGCACACAUUGCAGUGAGUCUAAUGUCUAAACACAAUAAGAAGAUACUUUGGUUCUUUUCAUUCUUUUAACCGUGUUCUAAAGUCUAAAUAUUUGGGCUUGUCUUAACUUAAUGAGGAAACCGGUUCUGUUGCCUUGUCUUCUACACUUAGCAAAAUGCCCAGUUUAGUAUAGGAAACUUUCAUUUUGGGACACAUAACAAAUGUUAUCAACUACACAACACAAGCAACUUUUGUCAAAUAAUUUGGCCGGGAUGUUUGAAAAUAUAAAUGAGAACAAUUACAUGACAAAUUUCUAAAACCAUAACAUAUGUUACAACGAACCUCAUAACAAUCAUAUGUCAAACGAUCGAACAAUUAUGACAAGAUUAACCGUACAUCUAAUAUCCUACAAUGACCAAACCGUUCGUUCAUUAUGAUAAUCCAUAAAGCAAAUUCAAAUAAGCCGUUUAAGUCUAACCCUUUCCUUUCCCUUCCCAUCACACUUUGCGAUUUCCUAUCCUUUAAUAAAACUCAGGCGCAAUGAUAUGUCCACGUCUAGUUUCUCGCUAAUUCGAGCUAGAUUGUCAAAGAGUUUUGGCAACUCUUCAUAUUCCACGUUCGACGCAUGAUUCACCGCUUCAUUAACGGAACUCGACUCCAUGCUUAACACUUCUUCUUUUACCCAGUCAAAAUAUUCACAAUCAUUACUACAAGUGAAGAACAAUCGUCCUUUGUUACUAACAUCCCAUUCGACCUCAAAACAUUUUCGAUAACCGUGUUUACACGAAGGGCAUCGACGUUUUGAUUGGCAUUGUCCAAAGUAGCGAGUGUCAAAUUCCGGAAUUCCUUCCUCUCAUUCUAGUCGAUCCUAGCUAAAAAAACAAAUAAACAAGCAUGAAUGCAAUUGAAUCACAAAUUCCCAUAUCAACUACCUAAACCUCACCAUCCAUGUCAAAAAGCAUUACCCAAUUUGAUUGUCGACAUUAAAGAAUCAAAAGCAAAAGAGUAAAGGCAGAGCUAUAUGACCGACAUUAACCAUUCAAAACCAACAAUUCUGAUUAUCAAACAAGGCAUUAAACUAUUCGAGUCUCUGUCUAAAUGCAAGCCAUAUAAAAUCAUAUUAUCAAUGCCAUAUUAUUGAGUGUGGCCCCUUGAAAAAUCAACAUUGGGGAGAUUUAAUGUAAGAAUAAAAAAAAACCACCAAAAUUAAAGUAUAGAACCAGAAAAGAAGAACUACUUAUACAUUAUCACCGGAGAUGGAGCACAGUGUGGAGGUGAACGGAGUUCAAUGCGUUGUCGGCGAUGGCAAGUGAGUACGAAUGGCGGAUGCUAACUUGGUAUACCCUUCGUUGGUGCCGAUCUUUUGUGAUGGUGAGUGCAUACAUGGAAAAGUGAUUUGGGAGGAAUGAAAGAAAUUUCUUGAUAGUGCUUGGAGGAAAAUGGUUCAGACGGAAUGGGAGAAAUGGGAGAGAUAGUUUGGGGCAAGUUUUGGGGGAAAUUUUUGUAGUGGGUUUCUUUAUCUUUUUUUUUUUUAGUUUGUUUGUCUUUUUAUUUUUUAAUUAAUAGGCCAUGCCGCCUCAUCAAAUUUAAAAUCCUUUACCCAUUCUGUAGUGCCUUUUCUGUACCCAUAGCUAAAUUGUACCUCAUAUGCUUCAUAUGAGAUGUAUAGCACACUUUCCUCAAUAAUUAGUUAAUUACUUUACUAGUCUUCUCUCCUUAAUAAUUACUUUACUAGUCUUCUUUCUUCAUCCGUUUACAUUUCCUUCCAUUUUUUGGUUCAGAGCUACAACCUCCAUUUCCAUGGCUUCUAUGCUAUAAGCUAAUCAAACCUUUCUGCUUUUGCUUCAGUGGUAGCGCUUAUUGUGUUUUAAGCAAAAAUUUAGAGGGUAGACAACAUUCGCUUUCACUAUCUUUCUUUUUCCCUGCAAUUCGACCAUCCUUUCCUUUCCUUGCAAUGGAUAUCUCAUUCACUGAUCCGUUUACUAGUCCUAUAAAUCUCCUUGAAAUUGUGAUCGAGCAUAUAUCACGUGUCUCCUCCUCACAUGUACAUAUAAUUUAUAUGUUAACUGUGCUUCGAGAUUUACUAUACCGUAGAGACUUUGAAGAUAUUGAAGAAUUCAGAAACUUUUUCCAAGUAUUAGUGUCAUUUGGGCAAGAGCUUAUGGUGCUCUUUACAGUCCCUAACCAGCAAAUCUUGUUCAAUUUAACUCCUACUCUCAAUUAUAAUGAAGUUGGUGUGGCCUUCAUCAACUUUUACCUCUUAAUGGUAGAAGUUAUCAUACAUUUUGAGGAAGAGUUGAUUGCUUGUUUAAAGGGUACGUUCCAAAAUCUCCGGACAGAGCUUGGAUUUCUCAUAAAUUUUCUUGGGGAUACAGCAAUGCAUUUGCAGCCCACCUAGACUAUAUUGAUAGAUAUCGAAGAUGUGGUCAAUGAGGUAGGAAUUUUCUUGUAUUCCUUACUUUUGGCCAUUGUUGUAUUUAUUCUGAUCAAUAAAGAAGAAGAAGCCUGUACUAGAAUAAUGGAUUUGGAAUUUGUGGUUGAUGAGGUAAAAAGUCUAAUUCAUUCCAAAUUUUUCCACUUACCAUUGCUAUCCACUAUGGUGAAGUGAAGAAAAAGAAGAAAAAAACAGAAAAAGGCAAUGAUGGAUAUCAAAGCUCUGCUCCCAAAAAUAGGAAGUUUAUUAUAUAUCUUUAUUUUCACCGAGGAUGAUCAAGUUAUGGAGACAGGAAUCUUGGAUCUUGCUCUUUCUGAUUUAUUUACAAACUUUGAGACCUUGAAAGCAAAGAUUAAAGAGCACUGCAUCACGGUCUCAAAGAUGCCAAGUGAUAUCGCUCCAAAGACUAGUGUGCUUUCACUCUUCAUUAUUGAUUCUGUCCUUGAUGAUCUCAUAGAUCUAAUAAAUAACAAGUCUGACUGGAUUGUUGUUGUGAAUGAUCAAAUUGUAACACUCCACGAGGAGCUAAUGUUAUUGGGAUCAUCCAUCACAGAUAUAGCACUGCAGCACGAAGUAGAACAUGAAGAACUUGUGACACGGAGCAAAGACAUAGUAUAUGAAGUUGAAUUUGAAAUCAACUCAUUUCCUCAUGUUUGGUAUCUUAUUCUCCGGCUCCCUCAACUCAUCGACAAGAUUCGGCUUAUUGUGAUGGCUAUCAAAGAAAUGAAGAACAAUAUUGAAGUAGUCAGAAUGUCAAAUGUUUCAAAACAUCCACAUGAACACGUAGAGCCACAGUCAAAAGAACCUUCCAUUUUGGAAGACAUUGUUGUGGGAUUUGACAAUGUAGUAAUUGAAAUCACAGAACAACUUGUUGGAGGAACAGGCCAGCUGCAAAUUAUUUGCAUCUUUGGGAUGUCUGGACUUGGUAAAACGACCUUGGAAAAUAAAUUAUAUAAACAUCUCUCCAUUUUAUACCAUUUUUACAAGCGUGCCUAGUGUGUUGUUUCUCAAAUAUAUACUAAGAAAAAUAUAUUGAUUGAAAUUUUGGGCUCAAUGAAUAACAGUAAGAGGGAUACAUACAUGAAAAAGGAGGAAGAAAUCUUGGUUCAAGAUCUUUACAAAAACUUAAAAAGAAGGCGAUUCCUCAUUGUGAUAGAUGACAUUGGGAUAUCAGUGUGUGGAUUGAUUUGAAAAGUUGUUUUUUAGAUGACGGAAUUGGAAGCAGAAUCUUAUUCGCUACUCGAAAUAAAGAAGUGGGUUUGAAGGCUUCAGCUCGCAAUGUCAUAAAUGAACUUCCUUUUUUGUUAGAAGUUGAGUGUUGGGAAAUAUUACAAGGGAGUGUUCAAAGAUAGAAAAUGUCCUCAAGAAUUGCUAGAUACUGGCAAGCUAAUUGUAAAAAACUAUCAGGGCCUACCACUUGCAGUGGUGGUAAUAGCUGGAGUUCUUGCAAACAUGGAGAAGUGAAAAAAACCUGUGGAAAAAAAUUGCAUGAAAUUUAAGUUCACAUAUAUCCGAAAUACGAGAGAAGUGCAUCCGAACAUUGCAAUUUAGCUACAAUCAUUUACCAAUGCAUUUGAAACCACGUUUUCUUUACUUUGGAGCAUUCAAAGAAGACAUGGAUAUCCCUGCACGGAAGUUGAUAUUUCUAUGGGUUGCAGAAGGAUUUAUAAAGAAGGAAGAACAGAAGAACAUAGAGGAUGUGGCACUAGAAUAACUAAUGAAACUGAUCGAUAGGAGCCUAGUACUUGUUGCUGAAAGAAGUUUUGAUGGAAGAGUCAAAACAUGCAAGAAUCAUGAUCUAUUGCAUGAAAUGUGCUUGAGAAUAGCUGAAGAAAAUAACUUUUUGAAGUUGAUCAAAGUGUAUUUCAAUGUUUUUCUUCUAUUUCCUUUCUUUUCUGUCCAUUUUUUUUAUUUUAGCUUACUAAGAAUGGUUAUUAUAUUUGAUGAUCGUAACAUGAUGUGAUUCUGUUUUUUUUUUUUACCAGUAAUGAUGAUGAUGAACAACGGUUCUUCAGUCAAGUAUCGACGUAUCAACAGUACCAUCAUCUGAGUAUCAACUAUGCAAAAUUUCUUAGUUCACUACCUGUUGGUCUACACGUACGCUCUCUUCUAUUGGAUUUGGAUUUUAUGAGUUCCAUCAAAUUAAUCUCAUGCAGCUACAAAGUUUUUAGGGUCUUUUGUGGAUGGUCACUGUAUGACUUUCUAAUAGGACUUGAAUAUCUGGUUCACUUGAGGUAUUUGGAAAUUUCAUGUACACUGCCACAAAUGGAAAACUUCCACAUAUUAGAAUUUCGUGUUGUGUACAAUGAUGAUGAAAUUGAAUUACCAGAGAUCCUUCUUAAUAUGGUGAGUUUGAGACACAUGGAGUUUAAGGGUGGUGCGUACUUCAUUGAAUCUAGUCGUCAACUUGCAACUAACAAUAAGAGCUUCCAAAUAAAUAACCUACAAAGUAUUUUUGUACUCUCAAUUUAUGAUGAAAUGGAUGAGAGUAUUUUGAGAAGUUCACCCAACCUUUGCAGAGUGGAAGGCAGAGUUGAGAAUUCAUUAAAUUGUUCCUUCAACUUCCUUAAUCAGCUCGAAUCACUGAAGCUAUCAACAGCACAUGGUACGCUUUAUUGGCGUUCCAGUUUGAUUAGUUGGCCCUUAAAUCUAAAAAAAUUAACUCUAGUUGGUGUAUAUCUGUCUCGAAAACAAAUGGAGAUAAUUGGAAGAUUGCGUUGCCUUGAGGUUCUCAAAUUAGUGUCUGCUGCCUUUGAGUGGGAACAAUGGGACACAAGUGAAAGUGAAUUCCCACAACUUAAAUACUUGAAACUUUGUGCCGUAAAAAUUGCAGAAUGGAAUGCCUCAAGUGAUAAUUUCCCAAGGCUUCAACGAAUAGUAUUGGAACAUUGCAAGAAUCUAAAGAUGAUCCCUUCCAAUUUAGGUGAUAUUCCAACGUUACAGAAGAUUGAGUUAUUUAUGUGUGGUCAAACUGCCAACGAAUCAGCAAAGAAAAUUGAGGAAGAGCAAAAGGAGAUGGGGAAUGAAAAUUUUGAAGUCACAAUCUGUAGCACAUUUGGUGAUAUUGAAGCCAUUCUUUCACACAUUUCCCCGCAGAUGAUGAAGGAAUUCAACAGCAGGGAAAUUCAGAAGGUAAUAAUGAAAGAUAAUUUCUCUUUUAAUUCUCUUUCACGUUCUCAUCUUGGUCCUGUUAUACUAAAAUGAUGUUGGAUAUUGGUUAAAUAAAUUGAGAAUUGAAAAUCGAUUAAAGUUCGUAUCGAAUUCGGCCAAAUACUCAAAAGCUCGACUCAAUCCGUUUAGGCAAAAUUGUUUGCCACUUCGCCGCUUCGGGGCGCACAAACGGGGAUCGACCUGCCCGGUCAGGUCGCGAGGGUCGAGGGGGCAGCGCCUCUCGUGGGGGUCGGGGGCAACGCCCCCGAAAGAGAAUUUUGAUUUCUCUGCAUGUAUUGAAGGGUAUAUUUGGCAUUUCGAAAACCAAUAUCGGAUGAAUGAGAAAUUACGAAAAAGACCUCAACCAUUAGUCAAUAGACACCUUUUCAAAAGGUGCAUUGUUUGGAAAGGGUGCAUGGUUUGGCCUCAACCAUUUCGUCCACACCCUUUCUUGGUCUAUAAAUAGGACCCUUUGGGUGUCCUAUUCCACACAAUUUGAUAUGCAAAAACGUCUCUCAUCCUCUCUUCUAUCCAAAAUCAAAAUCAUUUUAUUUAUUUUGAUUUUCUUUCAUUUCAUCUGUGGAGUACAUAAGUCUACAUUUGGUUCGUUGUACUUGUGUUUUGGAGUGCUACAAACACAAGUGUAGCCGUUGUAUCUUGGGAGUCGAUUGCCGAAAUCCGUAGGCACCGUUGCGGGGCAAAUUCGACUUAAGGACAAAGAGUCCAACUCUUGCCUCGGCUUUGUCACCAUCAUUAUACUUAUUUCGGCGUCACUAUUCACAAAAUUCUUCCAACAAAUGAAACAUCAAAUAAAAUUUUUGGCUUAUAUUGAAAUUAACCCCUGUUUAGUUCAAAUUAAAAUCAGAUUUUUAGUAGAUUUUCAUAAAGGUUGAUAAAAUGUGUGAUUGAAAAGUUAAUAAAAGUUACAAAUCUCAUAAAAUGUGUGUUGAAAAUGAGUUUGGGGGGAAAAAUGAGUUACAAAAAAUUGGGACCAAACAGGAGCUAAGGUUGGCUCUAUUUUAUGAGCCUCUUGAUGUUAUUUUAGGAAUUACUAAACCACAAGGUUCUAUGUUUUGGCAUUGCUUCUCUAUUAUUUCAGCUUUUCAUAUUUUUUACUAUAAAAUCAUGUUGACAUAAAAUCACAACGAUCACAUUUUCACUUCUAGCUCAUUUUAGUCCUCAAAAUAAUUUCAUUGUUUAGCUCAAGUCCUCCAUUAAUUGCAUGGGCAGUCCUUCAAUGCCCAAACUUGAUAUCUUUGUCCUAGAUUCUAGAUUCCAUCCAAUUUCCAUCCUUCUUGAUCAAAUAUCGUCCCUUUUUAUUCUUUCUUGUUCAAGACUAGUUUUUCUCUUAAAAUAAUCAAUAAAAACACAAAAUUAAAUAUCUGGCUCAUAAAAUUACCCCCAAACACCCUCUUUUGGUGGCUUGGAUAAGUCUAAAAUCACACUUACCAGCUGUCAUAGAUAUGCAACUUCAAGAGUGGAAUGAUAUUUCUUCGAGGUAAAUAGCAACUUACUCAAUUGUGUUAUAUGUUUAUGUCCGUAUAAUUCAUCUUCUACUUUGAAUGAGGACAAGUUAAUUCAAUUGUGUGAGUAAUAUUCUAAAGAUUUUAGGGAGAAUUACAGUUGGGGUCUCAAACUUUUCAAAUUAUUGUAGAUCACACCCAAACCUUGUGUUUUUAUUGUAGCUAAAGGACAUGUGGACAGAAUUCAUCAAUUUAAUCAUCAGUUUACCAAAAAUACUACCUAACACAAUUUUUUUAUUAUAUUUUUUAUGUAAUUAUUUAAAUUAUUUUAUAUGGGAUAACAUGGUUAGAUCGUUGACUUUUGGUCAACUAAUGGUCAAAUGAAUGGAUUCCAUCCACAUGUCGGCUUGGGUAUAGUUUGCAACAAUAUAAAAGGUUUGGGACCCCAGUUGCAAUUUCUCCAAGAUUUUAAACAAGUAGAGAUCUUGGCACUUGAUGAGUAAAUUUACACAUAUUAUUGAUAUACACACAAGAUUUUAAAGGGUUAGAGACGUUAGUGAUCUUGCAGAAAAGUUGACUGUGAUAAAAAAAAAUGUGUACCCAUUAGUUUACAUGUUUGUAACAUUGGCGCUAAUUUUUUCAGAUGUCCAUUCUCGAUGAUUGAGAUUUUCCAGAAUUGAUUGCGUAAUUGGAAGGGAGAUCAAUGGUUGAGUGACACAUUGGUGGCAUAUAUUGAGAGCGAUGUAUUUGACAAUAUUGAUAAUGAUGUAAUUAUAUGAUGUUUCCAAAGUAUUAAAAUUUGUAUAAUGCAGUUAUAGUAAUGUAUUGACUUAUUUUCAUAUAUAUAUAUAUAUAUAUUUUUUUUUUUUUAAAGAAAAUUGUACCUUAAUUUUUUAUCCUACAAUGAAAAUUGUGUGGCUCCACCAAUGAUAAUAGGCUUGAUAAAAACAAUUAUCUUUGGUGGAAAAUCAACUUCUGAAUGUCGUCAUGGCUAGUGGAUUAGAGGGUUUUAUUGAUGGCACAUAUACUUUUCCAUCAAAGAUUGUUGAAGAAAUGCUCAUCCUAAACCCCCACAGUAAGCAGCAUGGCAGAGGUUUAAUAGGCUUGUAAUGAGUUUGAUUUACAACUCACUAAGGAAUUAUGUCUCGAAUAGUGAGUGGAUUUGAUUACUGCUGAUGAUAUCUGGACUUCGGGUCGAAAUUUUUAUUAACUUUUCAGAAUUAUGACUUCAAGGUCUUAAUUUCCAAUCUCUUGUUGUUCUUAGUUCUUACAGAAUUUGCUUCACAGAUUCUUAGAGUGCUUGCUCAGACCCUCUGCCAGAGAACUUUCCCGAUCAAUAAUUUGGUCAGGAGUUCUUGUAUGUGCACCCACCACCACCAUGUAGUCGGCCAUUUCGACCGGCACCAAAGAAGCAUAUGAAUCAACUCAAACUCCUUUACCGAAGCAGAGCUCUGUAUCGAGAUUUUCGCUGUGGUUUCUCUGUUUUACUAGACUCCAAAAUCCAGCAUCCUUCCAUAUUUUCCUCGCAUCUGGGAACCAAAAUAAAGCAUGUGCCACAAUGAAAUCUCUAAGUGAUUAACAUAGGAGGAGCCAUUGUAAUUCUUCUUUAAAUAAAGUCAUAAGAUUGUUGGUUAAGGGAUUCCUUCAAAUAUAAUAGAAGAAGAGAGAUGGUAGAUUUUCAUGUAUAUCAAAUCGAAACAGCAAUCUCUCCACAUAUGGAUGUUAGUAGGCCUUUCAUGGGCGGACCCAAGAAGGGUCCCCUAGGGUUACUUGAUCCUCCAGUUUUUUCAACACUUUUUUUUUUUUUUUUUUGUCUUAGUUUUCGGGCUCACUAUGAAAUUUCAAAUGAAAUUGAAAUACUAUAUUUUUAAUAUCAUUUUGAAGUACUCACAGUCUAGUAUUUUCAUAUCGUUAAUGUUGUGUGAAAUAACCAAUCGUAGCAAAUGUUAUGACGCGUCAAAAUAGACAAUUUCAAAUUAAUAUUUCGAGAAUUUCGAUAACGAACUAACUUUAAAAAUUUUUCGACAACUAUACACUAGUCAUAUACAUAAAUCUUCUAUAUCCUCUUGAAGCUCAUUUCUAAAACUAUAUCAUAAACACAUUGAAUAAUCUAAAUAAAUAUCGAAAAUAGUUAAACGUACGUCAAACGUGUAUGCUAAAAAGAAACGUAUAACUUGUCUUUUUUGAAAAAAAAAUCAAUUAUUUUAUUAAUGCUUAUUAUUUUUGUGCGAAAAAUUUCUCAAUAUAAUUUACAUCAUUUAAUUAGGAAAUUUUAUAUGUGGUAUGAAGUCAAAUUUUUUUUUUUUUGACGUAAAAAUUCUUUAAAAAUUUUUUAUUACUUCAUAGGGGUUAAAAUUAUUAUACUACGUUUUCUUGGUUAUUUUUAUUUCUGAAAAAAAAUUUACAUGUAAAAAAAUUCAAUCAUUUUUAGGAAUUUUUUUAUAAUUGUUAUCUUUUCUUCUCGAUCAAUUUUUUUUUUCAAAUGACUCAAAAAUUAUAUUAGGAAAUUUAUUAGAUUAAUUUUUAAAAAAUUAAUGAUUGAGAGAAAAAAGUAACAAUAAUAAUAAAAAAUCCUAAAAAUGAUAAAAAAAAUUUAUAUAUAUAUAAAAAAAAAUUAGAUAUAAAAAUAAUCAAGAUGAAAAAGUAGUAUAACAAUUUAUAACCAAUAUAAAGUAAUAAAAAAAAUUCGUCUUUUUUUUUUUUUAAUUUGAUUGUGACCCCCUAAUAUAAAAUGUCUACGUCCACCUCUGACGCCUUUCCAAAGCGUUGCAAAUCUAUUCAUGAUUACAAUCAUAUAAUGGUGGCUGCUGGGUUUAUAUAGUACACACAAAAGACAAUGGAAAAGGGAGGCUGGAAGAGAAGAAAAUAAAUGGCGGCUGCUAUAGAAGAAAGUUGUGGUUGCCAGAGAAAGUUUUUCUUUCAACUCAACUUUGGGUGUGGAAUUCACGCAUGCUUUUAUUUUUAUUUUUAUUUUGCUUCGCUACAUAGUACAAAUUGUGAAUUGCUCUAAAGUAUAUUUUGGUAAUUCUAAAGAUGUAGUAUUCAAAGUAGGUAUCUCACAAAUUUCAUCAAAGUGAUUGUUUGUGAUGAGAUUAUUUCUUGUCCUUGGAGAUUGAUUAUUGUGGUAUUCUCCAAUUUGUUGACAAUUCAAAUUUUUGCUUAAAUUUGAAUAUUGUAAUAUAUAUUUAUCAAUUUGGAUUUGGCUUGAGUUAUCCCAUGAUUUUUUCCUGUACACUGGAGGGUUUUUCCAUGUAAAAAUUUGGUGUUGCGUUCUCUAGUUUUUUGCUUUGAUAAUUUACUUUCAUAUUUAAUCAUUGUAUUUAAUUGCUUGGAUUGUUGAAUUUAUUCUUGAAAUAUGCGAAAUUGCUUGGAUUGUUGAAUUUAUUCUUGCAAUAUGUGAAAUUGCCCAACACCUUGGUCCUUCUCAGGUCGCUGCAUCAAUCAUCACUAUACGGAAUUUUUUAGUAAUUGCUACUUGCUAAGUGAUAGGAUAAUUGGUAAUCUGUGAGUUUUUAAUUCCUUUGUUAGCUAAGCAUCAUUCCUAAAUUCAUGAACAUGCCUUGUAGCAUUUUUCUGUGUAUAUAUUCAACAAGACGGGAUGAAAAGAUUCAAGCUUCCCUUCUCAAUUUCUGUUCGACUUUUUAAUUUGCUAUAUGCAUAUUUCCAGAAGCCACUAAGUUAAUACGAAACAAAUAGAAAAAGGAAAUUUUUCUAUUACUAAACGUUGCAAGCUAUACAAUGGACAUAACAUUGCAAGUCAUGCAUUUGGAUGUUUUUAAAGACCAAAACAAACUGCUCCAUUGGAUGAGUAUCACAAGUUAAAAAUUCUACAAUGAAUUUUUGAUGUGGUGCAAAAGGAAUUGGACUUUAUGGAAAAGUGGGAUCGACGCAAGCAAAAAUAGAUAACUUCUCAAUUUUUGGAGAAAUGUUGGGGUUGUCCAUUUUUGGCUAAAUUUUAGUCAAAUUUGAUCGAAAACAUGUCAAUGAACAAAACUCAGCAGUUUUCCAUCUGAUGUAGGCCCAAUUUCGGCCCAAUUCUUUUGUUUAAGCUUUUUUCCUUUUUUGGUAAAUUUUGUUUUGGUUAUAUUUUUUUCAAUUUAAGUCAGAUUUGAAUUCCAUUUGUUGGAGGAUAAUCUUUAUGAUUAAAACUUUCAAUUUUAGUCAUUAUCUCGAUUUUUUCAAGUUUUGAAAAAAAAAUUAUUAUUAUUUUUUAUUUUUUCGAAUUUUCCUAGGGUUUUUCCUAUAUAAAAGCAUUGUAAGCCCUUUAUGGUCACGCUUUUGAGAGAAAUAGAUUUUUUUCAUGAGUUUUUUUCAUCUUGUUAGAUCUAUUCAUCUUUUCUAUAAUUUUCCGCUACGUCAAUUUUGGAAACAAAUCAACUUAUUCCAAAAUGACUAGGCCAAAACAUCGAAAUAAGUUAAAUCAUAGUCUACGUUAUUUCUUUCACGACGUAUAUCAUAUACUUCAAAUGAGCCAUUAUAUGUAUUUUAUGUUGGCGAAACUAUGAAACUGUGUAGAGUAAAUUUACAACAAUUACUAUUGUUAGGAAAAGUAUUUUAGUGCCACUGUUUCAGAAGUUACAUGACAUAUUGGCCUCUUAUUUGGUGAAACAAGAUUUUUGGAAUUGUAUGUGGAUCACAUUAUAGGGUUGCAACCAAUUGAUCUUGCUUUAUUUGACUCUUGCACUACAAUGGAAUUCAUUGAUUCUAUAUGUAGAAUUUCUAUUCAAAACUGGCUCAAUUCGGCUCGAUUCUGAAGAAAACCAGACCAAACAAGGUCGCUUCAUAGUUAACCUACAUUCAUUUUUUUCAAAACCUCAUUCAUUUUUUUCUGUAUUUUUUCUCUGCUCAUGCAAUUUGGAUCAAACAAAAUAUUUGAGAUAAUCUUUUCAAGAAAAAUAAUAAAACACAGCAUUCACAAAUAUGUAACUAAUGCCAAGAUUUCUAUCUGUGAAAGUUGUGACAGUAGGUAAUUCAAAAAUUAUUAUGAAGAUAGUGGAACUUAUUGAUGGAUACAGAUUUGUAUUAUUACCUCCGUCGUUUGUUGACUACAAGUUCACCAAGUUGCAACAUCAAAGGUAAUGCUAUCAACAAUGAGCAAUAAUGCUUACCAAAACAACAUCAAAUUUAUUUGUUAUCUUGCUCAAUCAUGCGCAUUAAUCUAGCAUAUGAAACAUACAAUAUAUUUCCCUAUGCAUAUAAACUGUCUCGAAAUUUUACUCUAAUUUACGAUUUAUAAUCAACUUUUGUGGAAUUGGCACUCUAUUAUUAAAAUUCAAUUGUGUGUAUCAUUUUUAUACACAUAUCUUGAGGUUUGUGAGAACCUAAAAUAUUUUGAGAAAAUGCUUCUUUGUGAUAAAAUGGUUAUGACAUGGGAGAAAAAAGAGGAGUGCGUCUGUGUAGGGGUGGCGGUGGUCAUGGUUGGCAACUAGGGGCGGAAUUAGAGGUGGGCUAGGCUGGGCUAUACAUUUAUUUUCUUAUAAAAAUAUAUUUUAUGACUAAAAAAAAUUAUGUGAAAUUUUUUUCUUUUACAGUUAGCCCAACAUAAAAGAUAUUUUAGUUCAGUCAUGGCUCCGUCUUUUAACAAUGACGACGUUGAUUAGGAAGGAUUUGUUAGGUGGAGUUUGGGGUGAAAUGUAGAAGAUAUUGAAUUUAUUUUUCUCUUUUUCUUUCUUUUUCAUUUUGGCUAUUUAGUUAUUUUUUAAGUGGUUUAAGUGUGUGGACUAUUUUUGUCCUUCCUUAAAAGUCAUGUGCAAGUCUGCAUACUUCACUUAACGGCUGCUUUGGAUGAAAGUCGUUUAGAGGGGAAUUAGUCCUAUUUGGUAUUGAUUAAAAUCAAAAUUUUAAUUUAAGACAAUGUCAACAAACAAUUUUAAUCGCUUAUCUCAUUGAUUUCACAGCUUUUCAAUCAUUUAUUUCAUCAAUUUUUAUUAAAAUAUUCUAAAAAUCUUAUUUUAAUUCUCAUCAAAUAGAUGCUUAAGUUUGCUAAUUUUUCAAAGAUCAAGGGCACAAACCGAACAAAACAUGGUUUGGGAGUAGGUUUGCUACUUUGCUUAAAAGUUGGGACUAAAAUUAGUUUCAUGUGGUGCGUGUUGGGAAAGUGAUUAGAUAAAUAUUUGAUAAUUAUAGUGGUGAUAUCUAUAUAAUAUAUGGACAAUAAAUGAACGAUGCAUAUGAAUAUUAUGACAUACAAAAAUAAAAACAUAAAUUUAAUCCACUUAAAUUAUAAGAGCACUGCUACAUUAACAGGGUCACAGACACCUUGUCAAUAGGAGGACAUGUAUCCCCUUGAAAAAACAAGGCCCAUGUGGCCUUGUUUGAGAAGAGUUAUACAAGUUAUAAUUCAAUCACUUGUGCAAAAUUUGUAAAAAGUGACAUUUUUCAAAAUGUGCUUAUCACAUCAGAUGGAAAUUCAUUUCCAACUUUGAUCAUUCAUUAUUUGGCGCACAAUACCAUGGAACUCCGAAGUCCAAAGUAGUCAACGAAGUUGGAAAUUAUCAUAAAUGAAUAUCAAUUCUUUCAACAGUGCAUUUCAAAUUUUCAGUAAAGCCUAAAGUAGUGAUUUGAAGGUUUUUGUAAUUUACUAAUAAAUUAGGAGUAAAAGAACAAUGGAUCUUGAUAAAAUGGUUAUGACAUGGGAGAGAAAAGAGGAGUGCGUCUGUGUAGGGGUGGUGGUGGUCAUCUGAUACUUUAGGUUUGUGACAACCUAAAGUAUUUUGACAAAUGAUGAAGCGUUUUCUUACCAUGGGCUCGUAAUGUGCAAUUCAAGUCAUUUUUCCUCUAUAUAAAAUUAAAAACAAAUACCAAAUUUGCAAAAACCAAAGUUUAAAUUCAUCACUUUUAAUAUAGUGUUACAUAGUCUAAAAUCAAACACACACCUAUAUUUAACAUAGAAGAUUUCGAAGAAUAAAAGUCACAUGAUCGAGUUAGGAACUUUUCAAUGGUAAGUUAGAAUAAAAGAAAAGAAAAAAUAGUAAAACAGUGUAGGAAUUUGUCAAGAAAAUGUCUUUCCAAAUGAAUCUUUUGGAGCUCUACAUUUUUUAGAUAUUUCAUUUUAAACUAAUUUCACUAAGAUUGAUCAAUUUAAUCCCAAAUAAUUUAAAAUAUUACAAUAUUCUAACAUAACUCUGCCAAACACAAAACAAUAUAGAUAUAUAAAGAUUUUUUGUCACGUACUCAUAUUGUAGCAUUCAAGUUAUUUCGCAACAUCCUUUAAAGAAAGGAGAAUUUUUUUUUUUUUUUUGAAGUGAUUGUGCUAAAUAAUAAGAAACAAUAAGUGGAUAUUAGAUAUUAAAUUGUAACGGACAUUAAAAUUGAUAAUAUUUUAAAGGAUGAAAGUUAAAUAAUGCAGGUAAAAGAUCACUAAGCAAUGGGGGUGAUAGAAAUAAGAAACAGAAAUUUCUAUUAAGCAACAGAAAUAAGCACCAUUGCAGUUUGAAAUCUAUCUUAAUUUGAACUAUAUCAAUAUGAUACUAAACUAACAAGGUAGUUGAUUAGUUUCUUAAGGGAAAUUGGCACAAAACGUCCCUACCUUUCAAGUGUAUUGUGGAAAACAUCCCUACCUUUCAUUUUUUGGCACAAAACGUCCCUACCUUCCACUUUCUUGGAGCUGAACGUCUUUUUCAUCAAUUUUUGACGAUUUUACCCUCCAUUCAAAUAAAACAAAAAGAAAAGAAAGGAAAAAAAACAAAAAACUAAUUGCAACCACAUUCCCAAAUUUUCUAAAAAUUGCAAAUGGUAACUUGAUAAUUACCGUAUUAAAUAAAUUGAAAAAAAAUAAAAAACUUCAGAAAAAAAUUUAAAAAAUGGGUUGUCUUCUUCACCCUACCCUACUAUUCAUCUUCUUCUUUGUAAGAAAAAAAAUUAAGAAAGAGAGACAGAGAGAGACUUUCCCCCAAAAUAAUUAUUUUGGUGCACAACAAAUCCUCCAAAUCCGAAGCCCCAUUACAUCUCUCUGCACUUCCCCUCUUUGUACAAGCUCCUUCAUUUUCAUAUCCAGUAUCAAACCCCAUUGUGCAGAGAGAUGUAAUGGGGCUUCGAAUUUGAAGGAUUUGCUGUGCAGAGAUAUUUUGUAUGGUGGGGUGGGGUGAAUAGUAGUGUAGGGUGAAGAAGACAACCCAUUUUUUUAAAUUUUUUUCUUAAUUUUUUGAUUUUUUUUUCAAUUUAUUUAAUAUGGUAAUUAUCAAGUUACCAUAUGCAAUUUUUAGAAAUUUUGGGAAUGUGGUUGUAAUUAGUUUUUUGUUUUUUUUCCUUUCUUUUCUUUUUGUUUUAUUUGAAUGGAGGGUAAAAUCGUCAAAAAAUGAUGAAAAGGACGUUCAGCGCCAAGAAAGUGGAAGGUAGAGACGUUUUGUGCCAAAAAAUGAAAGGUAGGGAUGUUUUUCACAAUACACUUAAAAGGUAGGAACGUUUUGUGCUAAUUACCCUUUUCUUAAUUAUUACAUAUCAUUAGCAUUAAGCUAGCGGUAAUUAAACAACAGUAUAGCAUUUUUUAUGCCCCGAAAUAUUAAGAUUCGGCACAUGUAAUUGCUUGAUUAAAAUAUAUAUGAAUGAAAAUAAUUCGAUAAAUAAGCUAAAAUUUAAUGGACAAGGUCUUGAAAUCGAAAAUCGAGCUAAUCUUUAUCCAAAAUCAAAAAUAAACUUAAAAGAAUGAAAGAAAGAAGACUUAUUCACGAAAAUUAAAAUAUUACCGGGGUUUGGAUUGAAAUCGACGAUCAGAAAUUAAUUUGACUAGUUAGUGAUUUUUUUUUUUUUUUCGAUUAUAAAUUUAUAUGGAAGAAAGAAACUAAAAUUUGUCUUUUUUGAAUUUAAAAAAUGGUUGGAACUAAUAUAUCAAUGUAAAAUACGUUAUCCACUAGCUUUUAUAAAUAAACGACGUCAAAAUAAGAACUCAUGAUCUUUACUUACUUCGAAAUCGUGUUGAACGAAAAACGUAAUAUAUAUUAAUGACCUGUCUCACAUGCCUUUUGUUUUUGAACCCUAUAGAAUGAUUUUUGAAGUUACCUUAAUUAUUAUUUGAAAAUUAAUCUUUAAAAGAGUUUCCUAAUUUGAAUGUACUUUUGGAGUAAGUCAUAUUAGACCAAAAUUCUCUAAAAAUUAUUAAAAACCAUACCUUCAUCAUCCGAUAGUCUAUGCACAGUUGCUGAAGUGCGGGCAGGGAAUCAAAGAACUCAAUGAAGUUAUAUUUUCUAUGAAUGAUAGAAUUGUAACACAGAGUAGUUAAGGAUUUCUUAAAAUAAACAUAUGCACGGAAACAUUUCAAUUUAACGAGUUUUAGCUUAGGAGCAUCAAUUGUUAAGUGGUGAAAUCCACUCGGACAUGCAACGCCAGUUGCUCCAGUUCUGGUGAGCUAGAUAUCAAACUUCCUAAUACAUCAGUAUCAAUGAUGACAUCAAGCAAUUCCAGUGUAAUCAGCCUAUUUAAACCUUUGAAGCUUGGCAGAGGACUGAUCGAACAAGUAGAAAGUUUCAAAUGUUUCAAUAGUGAACACAUAAACAGUUAAGAAGGCAAUUUGUACGCUUCAUACUUGUUCAUUUUCAAAGUGAAUUCUUCAAUACCUUUCUUCCAUAAGAUAUAUAUCAAAUGGUCAAUUUCAGAACCACCUGUGAGUUUUGGAAUAAUGAGGCUCGACUUAGUUAGGAUCCUUGGUGAAGUCAAAGAAUCUGGUAAAGGAUCCCUGCAAACUUCAUUCUAGCCAAUUCUUGGUUUCUCUCUGAUUCUUGCCAUAACGUAUCAUCAAAUAUCAGCUGUGGCAGUUUGACCCAUUUAUACCUCCAUUGCUUUGACAAGACACAUUAAUAUGAUCGCUAUGACAUUAUCAGGAAGAUCACUUAUCAUAUCAACAGGUUGGAAUUGGUCAAUCUUCAUUCUGCUAUGUAAUUGGCGAACAAAAUUCUGUAAUAACUCACAAUUAAUGAAAAUAUCAAAUUGCCUUAACUAACUUGCAUGCAUGCAGAAGAUAUUAACAAAUUCAACAUGAAGUUUACACAAUUUUGUUCGCUUUAUUUUAGUUUUUUACACCAAUAUUUUAAUAGUUAAAUUGGUCAUAUGACUAAGAAAUUAGAGAUAAUAUUCACAGUUGAUAUUUACAUUUGCUUAUGCUUGAAAUAUAAUUUCGAAAUUGCAAUAGCAAAAAAUUCAAGUGCUUAUUCACACCAAUCUUUAGUUUGUUGUUAUUCUUAGUGGUGGACAAGGGUGGCCAACUGCUUAAGUGCAUUCUUAGUAGUGGACAAGGGUGGCCAACUGCUCAUUCUAAUAAAGUAUGAACAAACAAUAAAAUAAGCACCUCAUAUAGAUUAUUUCAAGUUUUAUUGAAUUGUAUGCAUAUUAUAAUUAACUUUAAUUGGCCUGUCAAUGGCCUUGGACUUUCAAGGUAUAAUCCACUACAAUAUCUUAUUAAUCACAAUGAUUAUAAUUAACAAUAAGCAUUAAACAUAUCAUUAGGCAAUAUUAUAUUUUCAAAAAUUAGGAAAAGAGAAAUGUGAUGUUACAUGUUAAAAUUAAUUUUUUUUUUUUAAAGUUAAUUUUGAUAAAAAUUGAUGCAAUAUGUGCUUAGAAAGUUAUGAAUAUUAUAAAAUACGUGAACUAAAUGAAUUAUUGAUUUUCACUUUGAUAAAAAUCUAAAUUUUAAUUCUCAUCCAACAUACCUACUUACCCACAUAUGCUUCAUAUGAGCUGUGCAACACACUCUCCUUAAUAAUUAGUUAAUUACUAUUACAAACUGAAUCCAAGAAAACAUAGAUGAAAUCAUAAAUUCGCAGAUUACACCAUAAAUCCUAAAUCACAACAUCAAGGCUUAGAUCUUUCAAUCGAAGGCUCAGACCACACCCAUUUACCAUCACAGAGGCACCGGGACUCAAAAACGAACCCUCACAACCCAACACACCAAGGUCACUUCACUGGACUCAAGAAAUCAAACUGCCUACCUUCGAUCGAUCACUCACACAAAGGAAAAUCACACAAGAACAUGAUUAUCACAAAGAUAAUCAACCAGAAAUCUCACAAAGAGAAGAAGGAAGGGUCACACAGACAAAGGAACUCGAAGGUUCCAAACGGCAGAGAGAAAGAGAAAAACAGAAAGUGACGAUCCAAGAGCCAAACAGGGAGUAAGGAGGAUAUUUAUAGUAAAUAUCAUCAACCGUUGAUCAGCGGGUCAAUCCAACGGUCCAAGAGCGACUAAUGGUGUGUGGGCUGGAUAUUGGGCUCGGUUAAGUGGGCCUUCUAGGUAUAUAUUUAAUGGACCAAGUAAUAAAUCCAAUUUGGGCCUUUUCAUCAUUGCCUAACGUUGGACUGGAUCAAAUGGCAUCACAGCCCAACAAUUACUUUACAAGUCUUCUUUCUUCUUCCGUUUACAUUUCAUUCCCCUUUCUGGUUCAGAGCUACAACCUCCAUUUCCAUGACUUCUAAGCUAUAAGCUAAUCAAAAUUUUUUGUUUUUUGCUUCAGUGAUAGCGUCUAUUAUGCUUUAAACAAAAAUUUAGAGGGUAGACAACGUUCGCUUUCACUAUCUUUCUUUUUCCCUGCCAUUCGAACAUCCUCUCCUUUCCUUGCAAUGGAUAUCUCGUCCACUGAUCCGUUUACUACUCCUAUAGAUCUCCUUGAAAUUGUGAUCGACCAAAUAUCACGUGUCUCCUCCUCACAUGGACAUGUAAUUAAUAAGUUAAUUGUUUUUCAAGGAUUACUAUACUGUACAGACUUCGAAGAUAUUGAAGAAAUCAGAAACUAUUUCGAACUGUUAGCGUCAUUUGGGCAAGAGCUUAUGGUGUUCUUUACAGUCCCUAACCAACAAAUCUUUUCCAAUUUAACUCCCACGCUCAAUUCUAAUGAAGUUGUCGUGGCCUUCAUCAACUUUCUCCUCUUAAUGGUAGAAGUCAUCAUACAUUUUAAGGAAGAUUCGAUUGCUCGUGUAAAGGGUUCGUUCCAAAAUCUCCGGACAGAGCUUGGAUUUCUUAUCAGUUUUCUUGGGGAUACAGCAAUGCAUUUGCAGCCCACCAAGACUAUGUUGAUUGAUAUUGAAGACGUGGUCAAUGAGGUAGGAAGUUUCUUGUAUUUCUUACUUUUGUCCAUUGUUGUAUUCAUUCUGAUCAGUAAAGAAGAAGAAGAAGCCUGUACUAGAAAAAUGGAUUUGGAAUUUGUGGUUAAUGAGGUACAAAGUCUAUUUCAUUCCAACUUUUUCCACUUACCAUUGCUCUCCACUAUGGUGAAGGGAAGAAAGGGAAAAAAGGGAAGAAAGAUAAGAAAAAAACAGAAAAAGGCAAUGAUGGAUAUCAAAGCUCUGCUCCAUGAGAUAGGAAGUUUAUUAGGUUUCUUCUUCAUUUUCACCAAGAAUGAUCAAGUUAUGGAGACAGGAAUGUUGGGUCUUGCUCUUUCUCAUUUGUUAGCAAAGUUUGAGACCUUGAAAACAAAGAUCAAGGAGCACUGCAUCACAGUCUCAAAGAUGCCAAGUGAUAUGGCUCCAAAGGCUGGAGUGGUUUCACUCUUUAUUAUUGAUUCCGUCCUCGAUGAUCUCAUGGAUCUAACAAAUAACAAGUCUAACUCGACUGUUGUUGUGAAUGAUCAAAUUGUAAUGCUCCAUGAGGAGCUAAUGUUAUUGGGAUCAUCCAUCACGGAUAUAGUAUUGCAGCACGAAGCAAAACAUGAAGAACUUGUGACACGGAGCAGAGACAUAGCAUAUGAAGUUGAAUAUGUUAUCAACUCAUUUCCUCAUGUUUGGUAUCUUAGUCUUCGGCUUCCUCAACUCAUUGACAAGAUUCGGCUUAUUGUGAUGGCUGUCAAAGAAAUGAAGAACAAUAUUGAUGUAGCUAGAAUGUCAAAUGUUUCAAAACAUCCACAUGAACACAUAGAGUCACAGUCAAAAGAACCUCCCAUUUUGGAAGACAUUGUUGUGGGAUUUGACAAUGUAGCAAUUGAAAUUGCAGAACAACUUGUUGGAGGAACAUGCCAGCUGCAAGUUAUUUCCAUCUUUGGGAUGUCUGGGCUUGGUAAGACGACCUUGGCAAAUAAAUUAUAUAAACAUCCCUCCAUUUUAUACCAUUUUUACAAGCGUGCCUGGUGUGCUGUUUCUCAAAUAUAUAAUAAGAAAAAUUUGUUGAUUGAAAUUUUGAGCUCAAUGAGUAACAGUAAGAGGGAUACAUACAUGAAAAAGGAGGAAGAAAGCUUGGUUGAAGAUCUUUACAAAAACUUAAAAGGAAGGCGAUACCUCAUUGUGGUAGAUGAUAUAUGGGAUAUCAUUGUGUGGAGUGAUUUGAAAAGAUGUUUUCCAGAUGACGGAAUUGGAAGCAGAAUCUUAUUCACUACUCGAAAUAAAGAAGUGAGUUUGAAAGCUUCACCUCGUAGUGUCAUAAAUGAACUUCCUUUUCUGUCGGAAGUUGAGUGUUGGGAAAUAUUACAAGGGAAAGUGUUCCAAGAUAGAAAAUGUCCUCAGGAAUUGGUAGACAUUGGCAAGCUAAUUGCAAAAAACUGUCAUGGCCUACCACUUGCAGUGGUCGUAAUAUCUGGAGUUCUUGCAAACAUGGAGAAGAAAAAACACUUGUGGAAAAAAAUUGCAAAAAAUUUAAGUUCACAUAUAUCUGAAAUACCAGAGAAGUGCAUCCAAACAUUGCAACUUAGCUACAACCAUCUACCAAUGCAUUUGAAACCAUGUUUUCUUUACUUAGGAGCAUUCAGAGAAGACACAAAUAUCCCUGUACGAAAGUUGAUAUCUCUCUGGGUUGCCGAAGGAUUUAUAAAGAAGGAAGAACAUAAGAACAUAGAGGACGUGGCACGAGAAUAUCUAAUGAAACUAAUUGAUAGGAGCCUAGUACUCGUUGCUGAAAGAAGAUAUGAUGGAGGAGUCAAAACAUGCAAGAUUCAUGAUCUAUUGCGUGAAAUGUGCUUGAGCAUAGCUGAAGAAAAUAACUUUUUGAAGUUGAUCAAAGAGUAAGUUCAAUGUUUCUCUUCUAUUUCCUUUCCUUUCUGUCCAUUUUUUUUUUUUUUUUUUUUUUUUUAUUAAAAAAAAAAAAAAAAAACAAAAAAUUGUCCAUUUUUUUUUUUUUUUUUUUAGCUUACUAAGAAUGGUUAUUAUAUUUGAUGAUCGUAAACAAUGAUAUGGUUAUGUUGUUUUGUUACCAGUAAUGAUGAUGAUGAACAACGGUUGUUCAGUCAAGUAUCAACGUAUCAGCGGCACCAUCGUCUGAGUAUCAACUGUGCAAAAUAUCCUAGCUCGCUACCUGUUGGCCUACAUGUACGCUCUCUUCUAUUUGAUUUGGAUUUUAUGAGCUCCAUCAAAUUAAUCUCAUGCAGCUACAAAGUUCUUAGGGUCUUUUGUGGAUGGUCACUGUAUGAUUUUCUAAUAGGAUUUGAAUAUCUGGUUCACUUGAGGUACUUGGAAAUUUCAUGUACACUGCCACCAAUGGAAAACUUCCGCAAAUUAGAAUUUCUUGUUGUGUACAAUGAUGAUGAAAUUGAAAUACCUGAGAUCCUUCUUAAUAUGGUGAGUUUGAGACACAUGGAGUUUAACGGUGGUGCAUACUUCAGUGAAUCUAGCCGUCAGCUAGCAACUAACAGUAAGAGCUUCCAAAUAAAUAACCUACAAAGUAUUUCUGCACUCUCAAUUUAUGAUGAAAUGGAUGAGAAAAUUUUGAGAAGUUCACCCAACCUUCGCAGAGUACAAGUUAGCAUUGAGAAUUUAUUAAAUUGUUCCUUCAACUUCCUUUAUCAGCUCGAAUCACUGAAGCUAUCAACAGAAUACAAUACGCUUUAUUGGCGUUCCAGUCUGAUCAGUUUGCCCUUAAAUCUAAAAAAAUUAACUCUAGUUUGUGUAUAUCUGUCUCGAAAACAAAUGGAGAUAAUUGCAAGAUUGCCAUGCCUUGAGGUUCUCAAAUUAGUAUCUGCUGCCUUUGAGGGAGAACAAUGGGACACAAGUGAAAGUGAAUUCCCUCAACUUAAAUACUUGAAACUUUGUGGUGUAAAAAUUGCAGAAUGGAAUGCCUCAAGUGAUAAUUUCCCAAGGCUUCAACGAAUAGUAUUGGAAUAUUGCGAGAAUCUAAAGAUGAUCCCUUCUAAUUUAGGUGAUAUUCCAACAUUACAGAAGAUUGAGUUAUUUAUGUGUGGUCAAACUGCAAAUGAAUCAGCUAAGAAAAUUGAGGAAGAACAAAAGGAGAUGGGGAAUGAAAAGUUUGAAGUCACAAUCUCUAACACAUUCGAUGAUAUUGAAGCCAUUCUCUCACCCAUUUCCCCGCAGGAGAUGAAGGAAUUCUACGGGAGCGAAAUUCAGAAGGUACAAAUGAAGGAGAAUCUCUCCAUUAAUUCUCUUUCACGUUCUCAUCUUAGUGUUGUUAUACUAGAAUGAAACAUCAAAUAAAUUUUUGGCUAAUAUUGAAAUUAAUGGAUUAAAAUCAUAUUUUUAGUAGAUUUUCAUGAAGUUUGAUAAAAUGUGUGAUUAAAAAGUUAAUAAAAGUUACAAGUCUCAUAAAAUGUGUGAUUGAAAAUAAGUUUGGGAAAAAAAUGAGUUACAAAAAAUUGGGGCCAAACAGGAGCUAAGGUUGGCUCUACUCUAUGAGCCUCUUAAUGUCAUUCUAAGAAUUACUAGCCCAUAAGGUUCUAUGUUUUUGGCAUUGAUUCUCUAUUAUUUCAGCUUUUCAUAUUUUUCUACUAUAUAAUCGUGUUUACAUAAAAUCACAAUGAUCACAUUUUCACUUCUAGUUCAAUUAAGUCCUCGAAAGAAUUUGUUUAUUUAGCCUAAGUCGCCCAUUAAUUGCAUAGGCAGUCCUUCAAUGUCCAAACUUGAUACCUUAGUCCUUGAUUCCAAAUUCCAUCUAACUUCCAUCCAUCUUGGUCAAAUAUCGCCCCUUUUUAUUCUUUCUUGUUCAAUACUGAUUUUUUUCCUAAAAUAAUCAAUAAACACACAGAAUUAAGUUUUCUAGCUCAUAGUGAUCUUGCAAAAAAGCUGACUGUGUUGAAAUAAAGGUGUACCCAUUAGUUUACAAGCUUGUAACAUUGGCGUUAAUUCUUUCAGAAGUCCAUUCUCGGUGAUUGAGAUUUUCAAGAAUCGAUUGCAUAAUUGGAAAGGAGAUCAAUGGUUGAGCGACACUUUGAUGGCGUAUAUUGAGAACGAUGCAUUUGCCACUAUUGAUAAUGAUGUAAUUAUACUAUGUUUUCAAUGUAUUAAAAUUUGUAUGCGGCAGUUAUAGUAAUGUAUUGACUUAUUUUCGUUAAUAUAUUGUUUUUUUAGAAAAAAAUUGUAUCUUAAUUUUUGAUCCUACAAUGAAAAUUGUGUGGCUCCGCCAAUGUUAUUAGGCUUGAUUAAAACAAUUAUCUUUGGUGGAAAAAUCAACUUCUGAAUGUUAUAAUGGCUAGUGGAUUAGAGGGUUUUAUUGAUGGUACAUAUACUUUCCCCCCACAGUAAGCAGCACAUAUACUUUCCCCCCACAGUAAGCAGCAUGGCAGAGGUUUAAUAGGCUUGUAACGAGUUUGAUUUACAACUCACUAAGGAAUUAUGGCUUCAGUAGUGAGUGGAUUUGAUUACUGCUGAUGAUAUCUGGACUUCGGGUCGAAAUUUUUAUUAACUUUUCAGAAUUAUGACUUCAAGCUCUUAAUUUCCAAUCUCUUGUUGUUCUUAGUUCUUACAGAAUUUGAUUCACAAAUUCUUAAGAAUGCUUGCUCAGACCCUCUGCCAGAGAACUUUCCCGAUCAAUAAUUUGGUCAGGAGUUCUUGUUUGUCCACCCACCAUCACCAUGUAGUCGGCCAUUUUGCCCUGCACCAAAGAAGCAUACGAAUCAGUUCAAACUCCUUUACCCGAGCAGAGCUCUGUUUUGAGACUUUCGCUGAGGUUUCUCUGUUUUAUUAGAAUCCAAAAUCCAGCAUCCUUCCAUAUUUUCCUCGCAUCUGGGAACCAAAAUAAAGCACGUGCAACAGUGAAAUCUCUAAGUGAUUAACAUAGGAGAAGCCAUUGUAAUUCUUCUUCAAAUAAAGUCAAAAGAUUGUUGGUUAAGGGAUUCCUUCAAAUAUAAUAGAAGAAGAGAGAUGGCAGAUUUUCAUGUAUAUCAAAUUGAAACAGAAAUCUCUACAUAUGGAUGUUAGUACGCCUUUCCAAAGCGUUACAAAUCUAUUCAUGAUUACAAUCCUAUAAUGGUGGCUGCUGGGUUUAUAUAGUACACACAAAAGACGAGGGAAAAGAGAGGCUGGAAGAGAAGAAAAUAAACGGCGGCUGCUGUAGAAGAAAGUUGACUGUGGGUGUGGAUUUGACGCAUGUUUUUUUUUUUUUUUUUUUUUUUUUUUUUUUUAAUUUAGUACAAAUUGUGAAUUGCUCUAAACUAUAUUUUGGGUACUCCAAAGGUGUAGUAUUUCACAAGUUCCAUCAAAGUGAUGGUUAGUGAUGAGAUUAUUUCUUGUCCUUGGAGAUUGAUUAUUGUGGUAUUUUCCAAUUUGUUGACAAUUCAAAUUUUGGGACAUAAACUUAAAUAUUAUAAUCUAUAUUUAUUGUAGUGGAUUUGGCCAGAGUUGCCCCUUGGUUUUUUCAUGUACACUGGAGGGUUUUUUCCACGUAAAAUUUUGGUGUUGCUUUCUCUAGUUUUUUGCUUUGAGUAUUUACUUUCAUAUUUAAUCACUGUAGUUAAUUGCUUGAAUUGUUUAAUUUAUUCUUGCAAUAAAUGAAAUUGUCCAACACCUUGGUCCUUCUCACUUUUCAGAUUGCUGCAUUUUUCAGUAAUUGCUACUUGCUAAACGAUAGGAUAAUCAAUAAUCUGUGAGUUUGUAAUUCCUUUGUUAGCUAAACAUCAUUCCUAAAUUCAUGGACGUGCCGCCGUAUAGCAUUUUCUUUGUAUAUAUUCAAUAAUACUAAAUAAAAAGAUUCAAGCUUCCCUUCUUAAUUUCUGUUCGAAUUUUUAAUUUGCUAUAUAUAUGCAUAUAUUUCCAGAAGCAGCUAAGUUAAUACGAAACAAAUAGAAAAAGAAAAUUUUAUUAUUCAAAAAUCUUUCACCCUAUCUAUCCUCAAAGUUCAAAACAGGAGGGGGUGUUUCUCCUUUUUCAGUAUUAUUAUGCAAUUGACUCUUCGUGUAAAGAGUUGAUAGAACUGAUUGACUCAAAAAGAUAAUAUAUAUGGAGGUACCAACAAUAAAUGACAACGUCAUUAUAGUUGAUGACGUAAAAUAAGUAUAACUUUACUGAAAUAAAUGACGGGCAUCAUUUUUUACCGCUAUAUCAUCGACUUCCAAGUGACAGAAUUAGACUAAGAGCAUCUAAGCAUCUGAAUUCCUGAACCCACCAUUCUUUCAAAAGAUUUUUGAUAGGUCAAGUUUGAAUAAAGUUCAUUUCUAUUCAUCAAAUUAAACUACUAGCUCUAUCACAUUUAUCGACCUUUAGUUCAUUCUUAUAGACAUACUCCAUAAGUAUUAGUUAACAUAGUAGGCCAAAAUUGUAGAUUACGUACUUGUCCAUGUAAAUUGAUUUAUCAUAUGAUCUUUUAAUUGUCCACCUCAACUCCUCCAGUAAUUUGUCUUGAAUGUCCAAUAUUUUAAAAGCAUUAAAGCGUCCUUUGUGAUAUCCAAGUUCGAACAAGUAGCUAUAGACAUGUCUUCGAUGUGAUAUUGAAGUAUUAAGAAAUAAAAUUAAAUUGCUUACAAACUAAUUAGUUCACAUCUACCCUUCUACAAUAUAAAGAUAGCUUAGUUGAGCUUGUAUAGAGAGCACAAGUUUUUUGAAAAAGAUAUUUUUCACAACAUAUUCCAAGUAAUCCAGUUUUGAAGUCAACAAAACUGCAAUAUUGUGAUGUGAUCCAAGAAGCACAAGUAACAAAGUCAAGUCCAGAGUCGAGCCCAAGGAAAGAUCCGUUGAUAGUCGAGGGGCCAAUGAAUCUCAGUCUCAAAGAUGCCAAGUGACAUGGCUCCAAAGACUGGUGUGGUUUCAGUCUUUAUUAUUGAUUCCGUCCUCGAUGAUCUCAUGGAUCUAACAAAUAACAAGUCUAACUCGAUUGUUGUUGUGAAUGAUCAAAUUGCAACGCUCCACGAGGAGCUAAUGUUAUUGGGAUCAUCCAUCACGGCUAUAGUAUUGCAGCACGAAGCAGAACAUGAAGAACUUGUGAUACGGAGCAGAGACAUAGCAUAUGAAGUUGAAUAUGUUAUCAACUCAUUACCUCAUGUUUGGUAUCUUUCUCUCCGGCUCCCUCAACUCAUUGACAAGAUUCGGCUUAUUAUGAUAGCUGUCAAAAAAAUGAAGAACAAUGUUGAUGUAGUUAGAAUGUUAGUUGUCUCAAAACAUCCACAUGAGCUGGUAGAGUCAGAGUCAAAAGAACCUCCCAUUUUGGAAGAAAUUGUUGUGGGAUUUGACAAUGUAACAAUUAAAAUUACAGAACAACUUGUUGGAGGAACAGGCCAGCUGCAAAUUAUUUCCAUCUUUGGGAUGCCUAGACUUGGUAAGACGACCUUGGCAAAUAAAUUAUAUAAUCAUCCCUCCGUUUUACAGCAUUUUGACAAGCGUGCCUGGUGUGUUGUUUCUCAAAUGUAUAAUAAGGAAAAUGUUUUGAUUGAAAUUUUGAGCUUAAUGAGUAACAGUAAGAGGGACACAUACAUGAAUAUGGAGGAAAUAAGCUUGGCUAAAAAUCUUUACCAAAGCAUAAUAGGAAGCCGAUACCUCAUUGUGAUAGAUGAUAUAUGGGAUAUCAAUGUGUGGAUUGAUUUGAAAAGAUAUUUUCCAGAUGACGGAAAUGGAAGCAGAAUCUUAUUCACUACUCGAAAUAAAGAAGUGGGUUUGAAAGCUUUACCUCGUAAUGUCAUAAAGGAACUUCCUUUUCUGUCGGAAGUUGAAUGUUGGGAAAUAUUACAAGAAAAAGUGUUCCAAGAUAAAAAAAUGUCCUCAAGAAUUCCUAGACAUUGGCAAGCAAAUUGCAAAAAGCUGCCAGGGCCUACCACUUGCAGUGGUCGUGAUAGCUGGAGUUCUUGCAAACAUGGAGAAGAAAGAACUCUUGUGGGAAAAAGUUGCAAGAAACUUAAGUUCACAUAUAUCCGAAAUACCAGAGAAGCACAUCCAAAUAUUGCAGCUUAGCUACAACCAUUUACCAAUGCAUUUGAAACCAUGUUUUCUUUACUUUGGAGAAUUCGAGGAAGACAAGGAGAUCCCUGUAAGGAAGUUGAUAUCUCUCUGGGUUGCCGAAGGUUUUAUAAAGAAGGAAGAAAAGAAGAACAUAGAGGACGUGGCACGAGACUAUCUAAUGAAACUGAUUGAUAGGAGCCUAGUACUUGUUGCUGAAAGAAGAUAUGAUGGAGGAGUCAAAACAUGCAAGAUUCAUGAUCUAUUUCGUGAAAUGUGCUUGAAAAUAGCUGAAGAAAAUAACUCCUUGAAGUUAAUCUCAGAGUAAGUUCAAUGUUUCUCUUCUUUCUCCUUUCCUUUCCAUCCAUUUUUUAUUUUAGCUUACUUAGAAGGUUAUUAUAUUUGAUAAUCGUAACAAUGAUGUGAUUAUGUUGUUUUUGUUGCCAGUAGUGAUGAUGAUGAUGAAGAUAAACAACAGUUCUUCAGUCAAGUAUCAACGUAUCAGCAGCACCAUUGUUUGAGUAUCAACUACAUGGACUAUCCUAGUGGCCUACACGUACGCUCUCUUCUAUAUGAUUUUGUUUUUGAGAGCACAGUCACAUUAAUCUCAUGCAGCUACAAAGUUCUUAGGGUCUUUGAUUUUAAGAACAGGUCAACAAUCCUAGAUCUAGUGAUAGGAUUUGAAAAUAUGGUUCACUUAAGGUACUUGGCAAUUUCAUAUAAAUGGCAACCAUUGGAUUUGGAAAGGUUCCACAAACUAGAAUUUCUUGUUGUGGACAAUGUUGAUAAAGUUGAAAUACCUGAGAUCCUUCUUAAUAUGGUGAGUUUGAGACACAUGGAGUUCAAGGGCGGUGCAUACUUCGGUGAAUCUAGUCGUCAACUAGCAACUAAUAGUAAGAGCUUCCAAAUAAAUAUCCUACAAAGUAUUUCUGUACUCUCAAUUUACCAUGAAAUGGAUGAGAAAAUUUUGAGAUGUUUACCCAAUCUUCGUAGACUGAAAAUCAAUGUUGAAAAUUCACCAAAUCAUUCGUUCGAUUUCCUUAAUCAGCUUGAAUCGUUGAAUCUAUUUUUUUAUUCUACCAAUUUGAUCGGUUUGCCCUUAAAUUUGAAAAAAUUGAGACUGCAAUUUGGAGAUGUGUGAAAAGGCUAUAGUUCGACCCAAAUAAUACCUAGAGGGGGGGUGAAUAGGUGUUUAUGCGAAAUUUAACAAUUUAAUUAACUUAUGCAACAUGUCACAUAAGUACGCUUUGUCCAGAUUCAUUCACAUAAUUUAGCUACCUAAGUUGAAUUGCCGCGUUGAAAUCAAAACAACAGAAAACAGUAGAAACGCAACAAAAUGUUGAUGGAGAAAACUCAACUGGGUAAAAACUCUGGGCACAAGCCAAUAGAGAUCCACUAUAGAAGAUAUUGACUUACAGUACGCCAGACAUAAUUGAAUCUAACAAUACUUUGACCUCCUUACUGUAUCAACCAAAAUUCUCCUGGAUUUUGCAGAUCUGCGCCAAAAUCCCAGCCCUGAAUUUCUUCUAUCUCCCGUGAAUCACCAAGCACUCCAGUUCUUCAAGCAGUUUCCUUCCCGGAUCUUCAAACAGAUGAUCUUUUGGAAGUUGAUAUGGAGAUUUGAAUGGUGUUUUGGUUUUGUGAAGGUUGAUGUUUUUCUCUAAUAGAGCAAAAGAUGAAAAGAAAGAAUUUUUUGGCUCUAAAUCCUUUGGUUGUUGAGAGAAAUUUUUAUUUGUGUGUUUUCCCAAGGUUAUAAAUGAAAAACGGAAUUUUUGUUUAUAUAGUAGGUCGUUUUUGGUAGUAUGGAGCAUUUAAAAUUCGCGAGGAAGGAAAAUUACCAAAAGCUAGAUAGCACUGUCGCUCGAGCGAAGUGCUGGCGAAACUCGAGCGACGCACCUUCGCUCGAGCUACCCCUCAGCGAAACUCUAGCGACAACAGUUCUGUUAUUUAGGCUCGAGCGAGGUCAGGGUGAAACUCUAGCGAGAUCAACGCGUCGUUUGCAUCUUCAAAGCAUCCAACUUUACCCUAGACAUAUGCUAUAAACUUUGCAAAAUUGCAACACAAGUCCCUGAACUUUUUGGACCUUUACAAUGUAGUCCUUGACUUUACAAACUUGACAAAUUGGUCCUUUGGUCACAGAUUGCCAAUGACAACAUUUUUCUAACAAUGUGUCUCGAAAACAAAUGGAGAUUUGGAAGAUUGCCUUACCUUGAGGUUCUCAAACUAGAAUCAGUUGUCUUUGAGGGAAACAAUGGAACACAAGUGAAGGUAAAUUCCCACAACUUAAAUACUUGAAACUUGUAUGUGUAAACAUUGCAGAAUGGAAUGCCUCAGUGAUAAUUUCCCGAGGCUUCAACUAAUAGUAUUGAAUUUUUGCCGGAAUCUAAAGAUGAUCCCUUCCUGUUUAGGUGAUAUUCCAAUGUUACAGAAGAUUCAGGUAUAUAGGUGUGGACAAACUAUCAAUGAAUCAGCUAAGAAAAUUGAGGAAGAACAAAAAGAGAUGGGCAAUGAAGAGCUUGAAGUCAUUAUCUCUGAAUAGGAAAUUGACAUCGAGAAACUUCCAAAGGUAAUAAUGAGAGAGAUUCUCUUCUUUAACUCUCUUUCAUGUUCUCAUCUUGGUCCGAGGUAUUAAACAUCAAAAACAUCAAAAAUUAAUUCUACUGUAAUUUUGCCUUCUAUUGAAAUUAAGCUCAUGUUUGGUUUGGAUUAAAAUCAGAUUUUUAAUAGAUUUUCAUAAAGAUCAAUAAAAUGUGAUUGAAAAAUUAAUAAAAGUUGCGGGUCUCAUAGAAUAUGUGGUUGAAAAUGAGUUAAAGGGAAAAAUGAGUUUUAAAAAUUGGGGACCAAAUAGGCUAAGUUGGCUCAAUUUUAUGAGCUUCUUGAUGUUAUUCUAGGAAUUACUAAUCCAUAAGGUUCUAUGUUUGGACAUCGAUCUCUAUUAUUUCUGCCUUUCACAGAUUUUACCAUAAAAUCGUGUUUAAAUAAAACCCCCAAUGAUCACAAUUUCACUUCUAGUUUGAUUCAGUCCUCGAAAUAAUUUCAUUGUUUAGUCCAAGUCCUCAAUGAAUUGCAUGGGAGGUCCUUCCACUUCUAAACUUGUUAUCUUGGUCCUUGAUUCUAGAUUCCAUCCUUCUUGAUCAAAUAUUGGCCCUUUUUAUUGUUUCCUGUUCAAUACUGGUUUUUCUCCUAAAAUAAUCAUCAAAUACGCAAAAUUAAAUAUAUGCUCAUCAAUGUAUUUCCAAACAUCCUCUUUUGAUGGCUUGGAUAAGUAUAAAAUCAUACUUAUCAACUGUCAUCGAUAUGCAAUUUCAGGAGACGGGUGAUCUUUUUUUAUUUUUCCAAGGCAAAUAGUGAUUUACUCAUUUGUAUUGCAUGUUUGUGUUUGCACAAUUCGCUAAAGGACAAGUGAAUUCAAUUGUGUGAGUAAUAUGCCAAAUAUUUUAAACCAGUAGAGAUCUUUGCAUUGAUGAUCAUAUUUAGACAUAUAUUAUUGAUAUGCACACUCAAGAGAUUUUAUUAGGGUUUGAAGACCUUAAUGAUCUUGCAUAAAAGUUUGUUCUGACUUAAAAAGGUGAACCCAUUACUUUACAGACUUUUAACAUUGGUGUUAAUUAUUUCAGAUGCUAGGGUUGGUACGUUCUUGGCAAACAAGAUGAUCAAAAAUCGAUUGCAUAGUUGGAAGCAAGAUCAACGGUUGAAUGACAUUUUGGUGGCGUAUAUUAGAACGAUGUAUUUGAUGAUAUUGAUAAUGAUAUAAUUAUACAAUGUUUUCAAAAUAUGAAAAUGUGUAGGCUACAAUUAUAGUGAUAUAUUGACUUGUUUUUAGUAAUACGUUGUUUUAGAAAAAUUGUAUUUUAAUUUUUAAUCAAACAAUGAAAAAUGUGUGGCUUCACAAUCAUAUUAGGCUUGAUAAAACCAAUUAUCUUCGGUGGGAAAACCAAAUUCUGAAUGUCACCAUGGCUAGUGGAUUAGAAGGUUUUAUCGAUGGUACAUCUACUUUUCCAUCAAAGUUUGUUGUACAACUGCUCAUUGGGUCGAAAUUUUUAUUAACAUUGCAGUAUUAUGACUUCAAGCUUUUCAUUUCCCAUCUCUUCUUGUUUUUCCUGAAUUUGCUUAUCAGAUUCUUAAAUUGCUUGCUCAGACCCUCUACCAGAGAAGUUUCCCAAUCAAGAAUUUGCUCAUAAGAUUGUUGGUUAAGGGAUUCCUUUAAAUAAAAUAGAAGAAAGACAGUAAAUUUUCAGAGAAGUUUCCCAAUCAAGAAUUUGCUCAUAAGAUUGUUGGUUAAGGGAUUCCUUCAAAUAAAAUAGAAGAAAGACGAUAAAUUUCCAGAGAAGUUUCCCAAUCAAGAAUUUGCUCAUAAGAUUGUUGGUUAAGGGAUUCCUUUAAAUAAAAUAGAAGAAAGACAGUAAAUUUUCAGAGAAGUUUCCCAAUCAAGAAUUUGCUCAUAAGAUUGUUGGUUAAGGGAUUCCUUCAAAUAAAAUAGAAGAAAGAUGGUAAAUUUUCAUGUAUAUCAAAUUAAAACAGCAAUCUCUACAUAUAGAUGUUAGUACGCCUUUCCAAGGCGUUACAAUAUUUCUAGAACCAGCCUAGUUGAUACGAAACAAAUACAAAAAGAAAAUUUUAUUAUUCGAAAAUCUUCCACCCUGUCUAUCCCCAAAGUUCAGAACAGGAGGGGGUGUUUCUCCUUUUUCAGUAUUAUUAUGUAAUUGACUCUUCGUGUAAAGAGUUGAUUGAAUUGAUUGACUCAGACGGAUAAUAAUAUACAUGGGGGCGCCAACAAUAAAUGAUUAUGUAAUUAUACUUGCUAAUGCAAAAUAAGUAUAACUUCAUUGACAUAAACGAUAGGCAUCAUUUUUUACUGCUAUGCCAUCGAUUUCCAAGUGACAAACUAGACUAAGAGCAUUUAAACAUCUGAAUUCUUGAACACACCAUUCUUUCAAAAGAUUUUCAAUGUGUCAAAUUUGAAUAAGGGUCCUUACUAUUCAUCAAAUUAAACUACUGGCUCUAUCACAUUUAUCGACCUUUAGUUCAUUCUUUUGGACGUACUCCAUAAGGGUUAUCUAACAUAUUAGGCCAAUAUUGUAGAUUACAUACUUGUCCAUGUAAAUUGAUUUAUCAAAUGAUCUUGUAAUUGUCCACCCUCAACUCCUCCAGUAAUUUGUCUUGAAUGUCCUAUAUUUUAAAAGCGUUAAAGCGUCCCUUAUGGUAUCCAGGUUCGAACAAGUAGCCAUGGACGUGUCUUCGAUUUGACAUUGAAGUACUAAGAAAUGAAAUUAAAUUGCUUACAAACUAAUUAGCUCACGUCUACUCUUCUACAAUAUAAAGAUAGCUUACUUGAGCUUGGUAUUUUUCGCAACAUAUUCCAACUAAUCCAAUUUUGAAGUCAGUAAAACUGUAAAAUUGUCUAUCAACUCAAGUACAUACUUUCUUUGACUAAAUGUAUGCUUUAGGAAAUCCGUAAAAAUAAAUUGUCACGAGUCGCGUUAUCUAAUCAUACCAAACUUGCCACGAUGAAAUCAAAACUUAUCGCGACCAAACUAUUGUUAUACGCAACAUCAUGCACAUAAGAUCAUAAAUUUUAUGCACAAAUCUUUCAGAAGUCUACAGCUUCGAUUUUCAAACCAUAACUGGAGAAAGCAUGAUCCACGUCUGGAAAACAUAUUAAGCGCUUUCAAAAUUGCUUUGAGUAAACCUAUCAAAUGAAAUAACAUGCAAUCUAAUAAAUGUUUUCUUGAUAUGAUCUGGAAUCUGAGAUGUUAACCAUGACAACCGAGACAAAAAAAAAAAAAAUAAUAAUAAUAAUAACUAUUGUUUCAAAAAGCCCGUGUCGCAAGAUUGAAGUACUCCUGACCUCCUAGCUAGACAGAGGUUCAGGAUUCGUCUUCGUCUUCAUCUUUGUCCUCGUCUUCAACUUCAACUUCAUCUUCAAAAUCUACAUUAUCGACCUUUGCAACAGGAGAUGCUCACCAAAACUUGUUCAACUGUUUUAGAAUCUGAAGUCCUACGUCAGCGACAGCGUUGGCCAUUGACCAGAUCACUAUUCUUUUCAGCUUAGGCGAUUUUUCUAGUAAAAGCUUAGUGACUGCCAUCUCAGCAACUGUGCCUGAAAUAAAAUGCAGCUUCACUUUUUGAAGUCGAUUUGAAGUUACAUCUGAGCAGUCUUGCACUUACAGAAAAUCUGGAAUAGGACUAGCAUCAGCAUUUGCAGCACUCUCACAAAUCUAGACAUUAAAGCAAGAUAUCACUGAGCUUAAACUUUUGUUUUAAAAUGGAAAAUUGAAGAUGUAAAUUGUAAUGGUCAUAUCCAUCACUUACCUCGAAUCUCAGUUCCUCAAGGUUGAGGGCGCUGCUGAUCAAGCACAAAACACGAGAGUUCAUCCAAUAAAUUAAAAAAUAUAUAAAAUAACCUCUGAUCAAGCACAGAACACAAGAGAGUUCAUCCAAUAAACUAAAAAAUAUAUAAAAUAACCUCUGAUCAAGCACAGAACACGAGAGUUCAUCCAAUAAAUUAAAAAAUAUAUAAAAUAACCUCUGAUCAAGCACAGAACACAAGAGAGUUCAUCCAAUAAACUAAAAAAUAUAUAAAAUAACCUCAGAACUUUAAGGUGGAUUAAAGUAGCUGGAAGCCUUUCUUGGACUUGACCUGCAGCCAAAAUCUUGAGAGCAGUGGUAAAAGCACGAUCUAAUAUAGUUAACUUGACGAUUUCAAGGGAUUGUAUUUAUAAUCAAAAAUACCUUAAUGACAGUAUAGUUCAAGAAUAUUUUCUGAAGGCCAAUAAACUUCAUACAAAAGAGAAUAAAAAAACUGAAUGAAGUUACAUUUCCCAUCUUGCAAAAUAUUGUCAACCACCCAAUCAUUAUGUGAAGCAACAAAAAUUAUUGCAAGAAGAGUGAAUUUCUUAAAACAAAACAAUGAUGUAGGAAACAUGUCAAUUCAAAGUGUUUUAGCAUAGGAGCAUCAAUUUCUAAGUAGUCAAAUUUGUUUGAAACAUUCAGCAACAGUUUCUCCAGUAAUGGGCAGCUAGAUAUCAAACUUCCUAAUGCAUACAUCAUAAUCAAUUGUCACGUCAAGCAAUUCCAGCCAAAUCAUCCUAUUAAAUCCUUCAAAGCUUGGUGGAGGAGGAUUGAUCAAACAAGACAACAGCUUCAAAUGUUUCAAAUGUAAACACAUAAAUAGUGAAGAAGGCAAUGUGUACUGUUCUCCGCUCUUGAUUUUAAAGGUGAAUUCUUCAACACUGUACUUCCAUAAGAUAUGUAUCAAGUCGUCAAUGUCUGAGCAAUUUUAAGUUUCGGAAUAACGAAGCUCAAUUUAGUUAUGGGUCCUUUACGAAGCAAAAGAACCUUGUAAAGGAUCAACAAGAAUUUCAUUCUAGCUGAUUCUAGGUUUCCCUCAUAUUCUUGCCAUAGGGUCUCAUCAAAUCUCAGUUGGGGUAGUUUGACCCAUUUAUACCUCCAUUGUUUUGACAAAAUACUUGUCUUUGCAGCAUCAUGUAAAGUCAAAUGCAUUAGAAUGCUAUCUGCUACAUUGUCAGCAAGGUUGCUUACCCUAUCAACAGGUUGGAACUGGGUAAUAUCCAUUCUGCAGUGUUAUUGAAAAGACAACCCUUUAAUGACACCUCACAAGUAAUAAAUGUAUAAAAUUUACCUUAGAAGUAAUAUGCAUGCACACGGUAGAUAUUAAAGAUCCAACAUGAAGGUUUCCCCAUUGUCUUGCAUUAUUUUAAUAAUCCUACGCAAAAGUUUUAACAGUUAAAUUUUCCAUAUUUUAUAUCCCAAAAUUUGAAAAAUGGGGAUUACAGUUUCUUAAGCAUGGAUACACUUGCCCUCAUGCGUUAGAAAUUAAAAAAUUAUAAAAUAUCGGACACAACAUGUGGUGUGUUGAACACAUCUGCCUUAAGUCUAGGAAAUUUAAAACUGAUAUAUAAAAGAAUAUACGCCACGUGACAUAUUGGUAGUAGAAUGAGUGUCAUCCUUCAUAGCUGGUUAAAUUAUCAAAACAUUCAUAUGUUACCCACCAGGAAAAUAGAGACAGGUUUCACAAUUGAAAUUUACAUUUAUACAUGCCCUCGACAAAGUGGCUGUUAAGGGAUAUAAACCCACAUCAAAUAAAGAUGAAAAUAUAAAUCAACUUAUAAGAUUUUGUGCUACUCCUAUUUAUAAG
rnacentral:lncRNA from 1 species